UUUUUUUUUUUUUUGGUUCUGUUACUGUUUGUAAUUUUGCAGAUGCCGGAAAGUGUUGAAUAUGAGACUGUUCCCAAAUGAGGAAACUGGAAAGACAUGGGAUCACAGUGUAAUUUUCUCUCUGUUGUGGUGGUUAAAUAAUUUUUGAACAACUUUACUAUAGUCAUUUUGAUAGGGAAAUAGUUACUUUAAAAUUUUAGUAGUAAUUUUUGAGAUGAUAACUAUUAGUUGAGUAACCAUAUGACAAAUCAACUCAUUCAUUUAUCCAUUUUGUCCAUGUAAUAGUGAAGCUUCUUGCUGUAGAGUGAACACCUUAAUCAUGAGCUUUUGUUGCUAAAUGAUGAAAUUGCAUAUUUAUUUUUUGCCUGAUAUGAUGUGUGGCUUCUGAGUGCUGAUUUUUUACAGCUACAUAUUGCCUAAGCAUUACUAACCGAUUAUCUGAUUGGAGACUGAAAAUUUUUGCUUGAAUCAAUGCUUUAUUAUUUUGUGAAAAAAGUGACCUCUUAUGCUAGUUGAUUCUUAGAAGAUACAUCACUGAUAAGCAUUGACAUAGAACAGUUCAUCUCAUGAGAUGAACAUUUGGCUGCAUUACAAGAGUAUCCUAUGUCCAAUUUAUUAGAGGAAAAGAAAGAGUGGAACAUAUAGAGCAUUCAUAUCAUCAACACCAACUAGUUUGGGAUUUAGGUCUAGCUGAUUGAUUGAACUUGUGCUACCUUAUAAACUGUAAAAGGAAGUAGGAUAAAAUGGAUAAGUUACUCCCUGUGUUAUUAGCUGGAGGUUCCAUUUGUUAAGAAAAUGAGAAGUUCGUCUUUGCAAUGUAUUGGCAUAUUCAAUUUUUCCCUCUCUUGCUUUGAAAAUUCAUUGCUUGCAUUUGGCUGUUUAACUUCUAUUGGAGAUUCUACGAAAGAUAGGAGAUUGAACAAUAAGACGAACUGCCAAUUUUGAAAUAAAAUCAUCGCUCAAACUUUAGACUGAACUAUAAGACGAACUGCAUUUCUACUCAGAAAGAAUGUAAAUGGGCCACUUCUUUUACUUCCUUUGUGUCAUUGACCUUACUCUCUCUUCCCCAUUUAAUUAGACCUAUCAGUUGGUCAAUUUGAAAUAGUCUGGCCUAGUUUUUAAAAUGACAAAGAUCCUCCUUUUUCGACUGAACAUUACCUAUUGAACUUUUCGUUCUUAGACUCCACAAGUCGAAUGGGUUUAGAUUAUUGGGAUGGAGGGAGUACGCGCAUAUUACACAACAACAACAAACAUCAUAAAGACUUCUCAUUUCAUGAAAACAUACGUUAAUAAACAUUUUAAGGAAAAAAUUUCAACCAAAAUUGUAUUGCAUUGUCACGGAAGAUAGUCCAAAAAGCAGAAAGUAGGAUGCAGAAGAAGAUCUUUGACCCACUAGUAAUACAUGUAUGAAGAAUUUUAAUGUUUAAAUCUUUGCUCAAGACUAAUUUGGAAAUGUCACCAUGUUGGUUAUUUUAAGGCAUUGCGGAUUCAUAGAGUAUAAAAUAUCAUUGCCUUUUUAUAUCUUGUCAGAGAUUGUGAUGCGUCUUUGUAAAUGAUGAUUGUAUUUCAAGGCUUGACAAAAGAUGUAUUAUUUACUGUGUAGAUAUUUACUUAGUUUUACGUCACUUCUUCAGUCUUAAGUUUGUCAGCUUCUAUUGUCCAUUGGCAGGUAGUUCAGAAGAAUUAUGAAGUUCUAUUAGGUAACUGAUCUGUUGUACAAGUUCUCACAAUGGUCUAAGUGUUAAAGAUGAUGCUUUGACUGUCUCAAUGAUGGGAAAAUAAGUUAAACUUUGAUCAGGAUGUAUAAUGAUUUACUUGUAUGUCUCUACUGGAUGGUGCAGUGAGUCAGUUUACACUAUAUGGGAUUUUGAAGGGAAACAAGCCUGAUUUUCAUGUCGCAAUGCCUCCUGAGAAAGCAAAACCCUUCUAUGCCUCUCUGGUUGAGAAAUUCCAGAAAGCUUACAAACAGGAUGCCGUCAAAGGUAAAAAACUUUUUUCCAUGAAUUCUCAGUUUUGAUCUCCUUUUCUGUUAUCAAUAGUCCUAUGGAAAGAUAAAAGUGGAUAUCAACUCUUUGUCUCUCUUUGUUCUUUUGCUGAAUGGCUUCUAUAUUUUUGACUGAACUCCACCUUACUUUCAUAACAAGUCAGCACCAGUUCCAGGCUGUCAGCACAACUAUUUUGCUUUCUGGGGGCACUCAUUUCCCCCAAUGUGGAUUACUUGCCUAUCUUUACUCCAUUUGCAGACUAUACAUGUUGAUAACUUAACCAUGAAGGUUCUAAUACAGAAUGCUAAUACUUUAUUUUUGCCUUAAUUCUCCCUUAACAAUUUUUCCUUGAACUAAAGAAAUUUAGUGUUGUAAUGUUGGAAUAUGUUCUAAUCUGGAAUGUUGUGAUAUAAUAGCUAUCCCCUUCUGUGAGAAGGAACGUUUAGUAAUCGUUUCGUCAGACUAGGAUACUUGUAUAUCAUUACAUAUGGAACACAAGGCUAAAUUUCUCCAGCCAUUGUGAGAUAUUCUUCUAAGUAAUUGAAGUGUUUGGAUGAGCCUUUGAAACGCCUAAGCUUUUAAAUUGUUGCGUUCAACAUCAUCCAUGCAGUCAUGGUAAUUACAUCUGAUAACUAUUCACUGGAUAAUGCUAUUGGUUUUGUAUCCAUGGUGUUGCUCUGUCAACUAUCUCAUUAUUGGGGCUCUUAUAUCUGCUUGGUUUUGAAAAAUGGCACAAGCAUAGAUCUUAAAGCUGAACUAAUAUCUGCUUUCUUUCAAAAUCUCCAAUUCUUGAAGAUAUUGUAGUCUCUGUAAGUAAUAAAAAAAGGUCUUCGUUAGUAUGACUGUUCUCUUCAGAUAGUUCUUCUGCAUGUGCAAAGAAGUUAUAUUUCUCUGUGCAAUGGUCAAAGAUUGACUGGCUUUGAUGCUCUUGUUUUUACUGAUGAGGUCUAAAGUAUUAUAUCCUCUUAUUUUCUGGUCAUACUAGAUUUUACUCACCUUAGUUAAUCCCCAGAACUUCAGCUAUUAGACUGAAAUGCUUUCAAAACGCCUUACUAGCUUACUCGGUGAAUAAUGAAUCCACAGGAGUAACUUCUGCACUUCUAGUUUUGUUCUGUUCUUUUGAGAAUGCUAAAACUACAGAAAUUGUAUAAUGCGAGAUGACCAUCUAUACUUUUUUGUUUAUUGCAGAUGGUGUCUUUGGAGCAAAAAUGAAGGUGAGGUUCUCUGAAAAAAUGAUUUAUUUUAGCUUUAAAAUUCUGUAGAACUGGAGGAUAUUCUCAGACUUGGUAUUUGUUUAAUUUGGUAGGUCAACUUGGUCAAUGAUGGGCCUGUCACGAUGCAUCUUGACUCAGCGCAACCGUCAAAAUGAAACUGAAGCAAUCGAGGAAGUGAUUCUUAGCACUUGUGUUGUAAUUUGAAUGAUAAAUCUAGCGUUCUAAAAGUAGGCACCAACAAGUGUUGGGUUAUUAUUUUAUGAAAUUUUAGUAAUCUCAAAAUCUUGAAGGAAUCAAAAGAGGGAAAAGAAAAACUAUCUGUUAUACCCAAGUGAAAUUUUAUUACUCAUACAGGAUUAUACUCCAAACUCUCAAACUUGGAUUAAAGUGUCAUGAAUAUGAACUUUCAGCUUAUAGUUGUUAUCACUUGUUGAAGUAGCUGCAAACCUACUUCAGUAGUACAUUGCACCAAAAUUAUUUGAGAACAUCCUGCAUAUCAUCCACAGAGCACAUCAACACCUCUCAUGAGAACGUGACGCUUCAAAUAACUCAUCAGACAAGUUUCAUUGUUUGUUUCCAUUUUGUUCUGUUCAUGACUAUCAUUGGACAGGAUACAAUAACAUUGGAAUGACCCAUUUAGCAUUAACGCAUAGCUUAGAGCUACGGAUAUUCAUACAUGAUACACCAAGUUCCUUAAGAGUUGCCCUUUUUCGGUUUUCCUUGAACUACAAAGGACAGUUCCAUUGGCUAUUAAAGAGUGCCUUAAUCAGUUCACAAGCCUGAAGGCAUAAAAAAAAUGUGGAUCUAUUUAGCUGUCAUAUAGUGCCGUUACAAAAUAGAGGUGAAAGUUAAAUUUCACUAAUCACCAUGGGAGGAAGGCACAAAUGAAGCUUUCACUGAGGUUUCCUUGAUCAGCAUUUGACCACUACUGGCUGUGUGGAAACAUCAUUUCGCCGACUUCAGGUAGGAGGCUUUGCUAAUUGCCCCAUUUGACCAAAUAUACAUCAUGAACAAUAAAUAGUAACUGCUGUUUCUCCUAUGACUUGGUUGAGAGAAUGGUUGCAGCUGUAAACACCGCUUCUUUACCCAAAAGUAGAAUUUCUGUGUUCCUGCAUCAUGAUAUGUCAACUUAUUAACUUGUGCAGAGUUAGAAACUAGAAAAGCUUUUAUGUUAAAUUUUCUUCAACAGUUCCCCACAUUAGUAUAUCAUCUGACGCAUCAAUAGAAGUUGUGUUCUAAUACCACGAAUCUGUAAGGAUAGGAAAGCCAUCAUUGCAGAGAAGAGACUAUUCUAAUCACUUACUAGCUAAAUUGUUUUUUUCAACAGUUCCUCAGAAGCGGCAGAAUAAAUGAAUUAUAGAUGCAGAUCACCCAUGUAAUCCUCUCUAGUUGCAUCUUUAAUCAUUUUCUUUUCCAGAUCUGAACAAUUGUAAAAUACCAGUAAUUCUAAUUUCUUAGAGGACUUAAUGUCUCACCCAGUUGUUUUUCUAACUACAGUAAUAAUCCAAGUAAGACCAAUUUCCUGGACUAGAUGUGCCCUUCUGAUCUUAUUUCUGAACUUUUUGCUCAUCCAAUUUAGCUCUAUAUGGAAGUUGGAACUAAGUAAGGCAUCAUGUUUCCUAAAGAAGCUAAACUGCUCAAAGGAACAUGAUUCAUACAAAAUGAUUCAUAAGUAAGUACUUCAAUUGUCAUGUUGCAGGUGCUAGUGAACAUUUCUGCCCAGAGAACCUAAAAGUUAGUAGGUGCCUAUUUCAUUAUGUGAAGCUUGUGCAAUGGGUGGUUCAAAGAUGUGUGAGAAGGCAGCAGAAUUUUUCCAAGGAAAUUCAGCAUAACUUCAGCAGGUGAAAGCAAUUAAGCAAGGCUAAUCAACACACAUCAAGUGAAUCUUACUUUUUUUUAAAAAAGAAGAAGAAAAAAGUGAAUCUUACUUGUAUUCUUUUCUGAUAGAAGUAAAAGCAGCUAUUAUGUGCUUGCAGAUUUCUGUGAGAGAGCUUCCUUUCACCAUCUCUUCAAAAUCAUCAUUUUCAGCAGAAGAAUCCACUGAUACUGAUAAGUAAGCCUAUAAGAGGAUGAAAUACUUAUCCUAGUGAGAAAAAAGAUCAAAAUGAUUAUCUAUAACUGAACUCAAAGAUCUUUUUGCAGCAUCUUAUCGAAAUUCUGCGAGGGAAAGAACUAUCCAAGGAAUCAAAAUUGGAUAUCCUAGAAGUAUACAAAUUGGUUAGCAAGAAGGAUUAAUCACCAAAAAGGCAUGCCCAAGAAGCAGCUGAGCAACAUCCAUUCCAAUUUUCUUGAUGAUAUUUUUUGUGCUCCUGCUGUUUGAGAAGCACUUUAAAACACCUUCAAAUGUGGAAUCAUUCACCGGACUAUUUGAUCUCCUAGUACGAACAGGAAACUGCAACAUAAAGUACAUUAAAGUAGUAUUAAUUUCUCAAAAUCUUAUAGCUUGUAACCUCUGUAUUAAACCAGGCAACAUCAAACAAAGAAGGUGAGAAAACCAAAUAGAGCAAGUUUUUUGAUAGAUGACAACUCAACUAAUAUAGGGUACAGGAAAACAACCAACAGAACCAAAAAACAAAAUUGGGGCAUAGAUCUUUUGGAAUUCCUGAAAAGGAAAUGCAAACUAGUAAUUUGCUGAAAAUGUUUAAGUUGUCAAAACAAAGGACUUUUGUAACACUCCAAGGAACUUGCUUGUACACCAUUCCCCAUCUAGGAGGUUCGGAAAAUUAAUGCUCCAGAUUUUCCUAAUUCCCAAUAUAAAUUUUCCAUAAAGCAUCUAGGGUCCAACCUCUAUCCAUACUUCUUGAUUAUGAUUGAAUUGAAAGCAAAAGCUCCUGGGUAUCAAAGCACCAAGCAACAGAGGGUUCCACAAUCAUGCCUAGUACUUCAACAAUGCAUUGACCAGACCAGAGUCUAGAAAUCUGUAGGGAAUUCAUGAUUAAAUUCAAAAGGAGAUUGGCAGGCGGACUGGUUAAAAGUAAAUAGUUGUCUUUUAUGAUAAGUCUGGUUAAAGGUAAUAUCUUGACAAGGAUUUUCCUAUGCAUGCAUGGACGACUUUGCAUUUCUGCCAUCAAAAACAAAAUGAAGAGAUCAGCACAACAUAGCCUAAAAGAGCACAAACGGUAAGUUGUAUUUAGGAAGUAUAUGGAAUCCUAGAAUAAGAAAGGAGUCAUUUGAUGUAUGCCAAUGUCUCGAAUAAAAGAGUCUGAUGGUCAAUGUCUACAGAGGACUCCUCAAGUAAGACUUAAUUAGAAUGUAUACAACAUUAGACAGCUUCAAAGAUUCAAGAAAAUAAGACAGAGAUCGAAGCAUAAUAAAACAGAACGACAAUAACAAAAGAGUCCAAUAACAAAAUAUUAAACUUCAUAAUGAAAAUAUAUCCAAUAAGCUAAAACAAAACCCCAAUCCUUGUAUCUAGCCUACAUUCCACUACAAACUCCGUACCAGGUGAAUUAAGUGAAGAUACUUCCACUGUCGGUUUAAAAAUUAGUUAAGAUAUGGCACGAUGAUAGAAGAAUACAUUUACCUUAGGAAUGUACUUCUGAAAGUAUUGCAUGAUCAUUUUUAGCUUCCACCAAGGGUCAUCAAAGACCUGCAGAAAAUUAUUUCAUCAUAUUAUGCAGCAUUCUCCUUGACAAGCAAGAUACAUCAGAAUGACAAAGAAACAUGUAGGGUAAAAUGUUAACAUCGUCCCAAUAAAAACAUAAGUUUCAUCUCAUUUUCCCACUUAAGAGGAAAGGACAUUACCUGAAAAAAGGGGGAGAGCAUAUCAGAAUUGUAAGCGAGUUCAUCCAAAAUGAUCUCUGCAGCAGGCGAUCUGCACUAUCUCUGAUAUCAAUUGGAUUUCUCAAUCUGAUGGUUUUAUUUAAAGUAAAAUAAUUCAUUCAACAAAAUACCUCACACCAUCAGCUCUGGUGGUAAGGCCUUGAACAUCUGCCACAUUCCGUGAUGUAUCCAGCUCCAUCAUCUAAUUGUGAAACAAGUCACAGUUAGAAUUGGUCAAACAUAUAUUUUAAAGAGUAAUAGCUCAGGAAUCCACCAUUCUCAGGAGAUUCUUCAGAUAGAUACAAGUAGACCGUUUGAGUUCAGGUAAAGCCAGUGUAAAAGCAGCAAUGCAAUUAUGUGAUAUCUCGUUUGAAGGAGGUGCCACUGAAUCCACAUCAGAGGAGGACUCAGAUUUAUCAUAUAAGUCAGAGAACACAUCAGAUAUAACCGACAGGCAGUCCUUGACUAAGCUUUUAUAGAUUAUUUUUCUUGACCCCUGAACAAUGAGAGGAAGACAAAUAAGAAGUGGCAUCCUAAGCAUACCUCAGUAAACUCACACUUCUAAGUAGCAAUAUUACAGACAAAUAAUAAUGGUGACAUUUGAAAAUGAAAACAUACCAGAAGCAUGUUGAGCAAUGAAUCCCGCAAAAGGGUCCAACUCAUCUUUUCUGCAAGAUGAACCUUUUAAUGAUGGUUUCGAGAGGACAUCUUAAGGUGCAUGACACUAAAUGAAAACUAGAAUCCUCUGAAAAUCAUUACCUUUGAAUGCUUUGUUACGAGGCACAAAGUCUCCUUCAAGCACACUGACAAGAUAGUGAAGUAGUAGCAUCUUCCUUAAUAUCUGCAAUAGGUCUUGUCAGACUAUUUGAUGAAGAUACGAAGGCAGGAUAAUUCUUCAAUGAUGACACUAGGCACAAAUCACAAGCCAACUGGCUGACAAAAGAUAUAAAUACAAAAUUGACCUGUGAAUUAUCUUAUUACUCUUAAAGAAAUAAUUACAAAAUCGACUCAUAAAAUUAUCUUAUCAGUCAAGAUUGUCAGAGGGCUGUUCAAUUAAAUGUACAUCCACAAAGGAAUUUGAUAUGUCAAUACAUUCAGAGUUUAACGCUCAAUUAAAAAUGCACACUGGACAAGGAUGGUCAUAAGCUAACUGCACAUUCUAGCACUUGGUUAAUUACUAAAUCCUCACCCCAAGAUACUGCUCCAACGAAAACAUGUGAAAGGCAAAUAACUUAAAUACUUCUUAUAUGCCCAAGGAAAUAACCACAUCUUCUCAUAAAUCAAGGAAAUUCUGAAAAUGACAAUAUGGGCCAAAAGAACCCGGUCACCUGACUAAUAGCCUGUUAGGCCAAGCUUCAGGAGAGCCAAAAGUGCUUCUUUUUUCAAAUUAACAAAAAUGCCUAUUUUAGAGAGUUGAGGUGUUUGGCCAAGCUUUUAGGAAAAAAUAUGUGUUUUUGAGAACAAAAGUUUAAUUUUUUUUUUGACAAAGGUAACAGAACAAAAGUUUAAUUUAUACAAGCUAAAAAAGCACUUUUGGAACCUUGACCAAUUACAAAUUACUACUCUAAUAUUAGCAAAAGUGUUUCUGAAAUUCAUUAGCUAAACACAAAUUGCUACUCUCUAAAAGUACUUCUGACAAAAAAUCACUUCUCCAAAUAUGUAAAUGGUAGAAGCUUGGCCAAACAACUAUUAAGUAUAGCUGAAAUUGUCAUGUCUGCUGAUAUAUGAGCUGAUACGCUAUGAUAAUAAAGGAAUAACAUAUAAUAUUGUAAGGCAUAGAGAUUGAAAGAAAGCUUCAAUAUGGUGACUGACCUUUGUUUCUAAUGCUUUUGACCUCUGGUUGAUCAUUUCCCCAAGUUCUUGUAUUAGUGAAUGAAAGCCCUAAAAUCACCAGAAACAUUAACACUGCCGAAAUACAUGUGAGAGGAAUAAUAAAGUUCAGUAAAAUACACAUAGGAAAUUGGUGUAAAUGUGUGAUGUAGCCAUCACAUACAGUUUGACUUACCAAGGGGUCAAUUGAUCCACUUGAACCUUUAUUUAUUUCAUCGUCCCUAUCCAAUCCUAGAGUAAAUGGACACCAGGCCUGACAUAGAGUAGCCGAUCAUUAUUGAAGUUAAUAUUGAGAAAACAACUGCGUCUGUGAACAACUGUGUCUUCAUCUGUGAGAGGAUGGAGAUACCUCUUCAACUAAAACAGGUUCAUUGAGAAUGGUUGGUGGCAGACAUGAUGCUUGCUCCUCCAGUUUGGGCAAGCACACCCUAGGAAAUCGCUAGGUUCAAAAGAAAAUCCAUCCCAUGUAAGAAAGUCAAAUGCAGCAGUAAUAAUAUAAAAAGUUAAACCUAAGGAACAAGGCAAGCUCUUACCUUAUCCAACUCAUUCAGAAGUUGAUAACUUCCCAUUAUUAGCUCAAGUGAAGUCUCUUCCUUCAAAAUUUGGAAAAUUGCUUCACGCAUCGUGCUGUUCCAGCAUAUCCGUGAUAUCAGAUAAUAGGAACCUUAUGUGGUAACUUUUUUUUUAAUCAAACAUUAUGUGGUAACUUGAAAGCUAAAUUGACACACAUUUAAGAUGGGGCCGCAGUGUUAUGAAAGGAGCUCACCUCUCGCCAAAGGCGAUGAGGCGAGGCGAGGCGAUGCCUCGUCGCCUUUUACUGGUGAGGCGUGGCGAGUUCAGAAAGGCGACAAAAGGCGAAUGGUGACGCAGCGAGGCAAGGCGACAAGGCGUCGCCUUUUUAUUUUAUUUUUUAAAAAAAGAUCUGAUUUAAUAAUUAAAAGGCAAUAUUAGGGUUUAUUUGAUGUUUUUGCAAACCUAGGACUUCUUCUCUCCAUCGCGACUCUCCUUGCACCUUCGCGACCCUCUCUUCUCCAGUUCUCCUCCCUCGCUACUUCGCGACUCUCUUCUCCAGUUCUCCUCCCUCACUACUUCGCGACUUUCUUCUUCUUCUCUUCUCCAGUUCUCCUCACUACUGACGACGAGACCUCAGCUGUUCAGCACUCAGCAGGUAUGGUUUUAGAUUUAUUUUUUUUCUUCUCUUCUUCUUUCAUAUGCAGAAGAAGAAGAUCAGGCUCUGUUUUUUACGCUGUUUUUUUAUUUUGAAGCUAUUGCAUUUCUGCAAUCUGCCUACAUUUAAGAAAAAAUAAAAAUCAAUCCUUCUAUAUUUAUUUCUACCCUACUCAAAUUAGUUUUAUACUAAAUAAUAUAGUAUUUGCUAAUAUAUGUUAUUUGCUAUUGAGAUUUUGGAUAUUUAUAUAUGCGAUUAAAUAUUUUAAGUUUUUGGUAUUAAUUAGCACCUCAAUUCAAAAAGGUGACCGUCUCGCCGCUCGCCGAGGCAGACCCUUGUCGCCUUUCGCCGUCCAAAACACUGGAUGGGGGAGGGGGGAGGAGAUCAUUCAUGCCAACUACAUUGCAAGUUUGCAACAAAGGUUUCUUCUUUGCUUUUUCUUUUAGACGAGUAAGCAAAAGGUUAUAUUGCCACAAAAACUGAACAAAGAUGCAUCUUUGGGAUUAGGUAUUGUUCCCCCAAUGAUCAUAGUACCAAGUACUUAUACAAGCAACAUAAAAAGGCAAAAGUCCUAGACAAAAAGAUGUUUUCACAAUCAUUUAUACAAAGGGAGAAGUUCUAUGCACUCCAAGAGCUUACAGAAAAACAACCAUUUAAGACUAGAAUGUAAGUUCAUGCAAAAUUGGUAAAGAAUACAUUCUUUCCUUACUAGUAGAUAAAGAGAGAGAGACUAUAUAUCAACCAGUAGAUGUAAUAAGGAACUCUCCAUUAAUAAAGUCAAUUGACUAAAUCAAAGACUUGUAACAAACCACAAUAACAAGAGUAUCAUGUAUUUCUUAUGACAAAAGAAAGAAAAAUAAUUCGAAAAUGGAAAGGGGAAAAGGACAAGCUGGGUUAGAGCUUCAGUAGUCGGACAGCAGAAGUAAAAGGUAUCAUCUUUUAUGAUUCUAAAAACAAUGUGGGCAAAUGAGUAUAUACCAACAACUUCUGUAACACCCUGCAAAGGAACUUAAUACUGAACCAAUCAAAGAUGGGAAGUAAGAGCAAACAGACCAGAUAUACAAGAGGACACUACUUUUAGGGAUAACUGAGACCUAACAAAUUUGUGUAGUUAGUUGUUCUUCAUCUGCAAUUUACAAGGUUUGAACUCCAUUUUUCCUCAAAAUCAUCAUUAAGAUCUAAAAUUUCUGAUACAGCCACAAUAUCAAGUACGCAAACCAAUCAACCAAAGCAGCUAGAUAUUCUCCACUAUUCGUACAAUUCUCCAAACACGCACAAGCAUACGCAGUCUGUGUAUGCAUCUAUAUAGUUCAGUUUACAUAUAAAUUUACAGAAAAUCAUAAUCAUACAACAUCAGCCAUUAUAAACAGAGAAAAGGAGGGUAAAAUACCUAGUAGGCGGUGUUCCAUUUUCUGGUAGCAAUGAAGCAGAGCGAACAGCUUCUAGAAAAGCAAGACCUGCGAAUUUUUUUUCAAUGUAUCAAUCGAAGAAGAAAACAGGUGAACAAAUAAAAGAACAAAAGAAGAAAAAAACUAAAAGCGUACUGUCGUCAAGGCGGUGGUGAGAAUCUCUAUUGAAACCAGAAGUAUCGAGAAUCGCCAUUGUGUUCUCUUCAAUUCCUCCAUUGUUGCUUCCUCCUCUCUUUCGCUUUGCCAUUCUCCUUCGAUUUUCUUUCGUUUUUCAAAACCCUAGGGAAAAACCGAGUGGACUCACGCACUCCUGAUGCCUCUAUGGUUUUUUUCCCGCCACUGUGAUGCGGUGAUUGAGAAUUUAUAACUUAUAAUCAUUUAAUUUCAUUGGUCUUUCGUCCUGGCAUCUGUCACAGGCUUGUCACUGGAUCCCAGAAAAAUUUGAGGAGAAAAAAAAAAUGAAAUUCCUUUUCCGGGACUUGAUCCCAGAAAAAUUUGAGUAGAAAAAAAAUAAAAUGAAAUUCCUUUUCCGGGACUUGAAACCAGGUCUUUCGUGUGAGAGCCAAAUAGCCUAACCAACUAGACUACAACGGAUUGUUAUUGUGAAAUUGUAUAUGAACAUAUUUGAUUUUCUUCAAAAGAUUUUUAUCAUAUGUGAAUUAAUGAUUUCUUAGGAAUCUAAAUAGAUAAUGAUUGUCAACGGUUAGAGUUAAAUUAUGAGAGUAUACAUUUAUAUCUACCUAGUAAAUGUGAAUUUCGUGUUAGGAGGUUGUUUUAUUCUUUUAGCUAACUAUAAGUUCAUACCGUUACACUAUGUGAGAUUUGAAUCGAAUAAAAUAACCUAAUUGCUUCUCAAAAUUAUUUUAUAGCUAUUUUUCUUAAUUGAAUAAACUUUAAAUUUGAAUCUCAAAUAAAACACCAUUAUUACAUGAACGAUUUAUCAUAGAGUUCAAAAGGUUUUUUCAAGAGGUAAAAUUAAUCCCAAAGUUAGUAUAUUUUGUUGUCCAUGAUCAUUCCAUUUUCUAAAUGUAAAUCAUACCCUUUAUUGUCCAUUUUCUCAGGCUUAACUGGAUCUCAACUUAUUUAGUUAGGGGUCGUUUGGUACGAAGCUUAAUAAUGUAGGGAUUAGUAAUGCUGGAAUUAGUAAUGUAGAGAUUAAUAGUGCAGGGAUUAGUAAUGCAGGGUUUAUUUUUAUCAAGUGUUUGGCUCAUUGUUUCCCACCUCAUCUUGUGUUUGGAUUAAAACCUUAUGAAAAAACUUUUUUCCAAUUAUACCCUUAAAUUAUUAUGUAAUUGGGUUAAGUUAAAUAAUUAUCGGACAAUAUUAUUUUUUCAUGGUCUUCUAACUAGCUAUAAGAAGAACAAUUUUAUUGUCAUGUUUGCCUUUUUUUACACUUAAAUUAUUUGAGGAUAAAUAAUUGUCAUCUUAGUAAAUUGAACCCUUACAAAAUGUCAAUUUUCAAUUUGAAAAAGAUAAACUAUCAACUAUUAAAAUUGAAAAGACGUUAAACAAUAGUAAGAUUGAAUAAACCAUCUACAUUUACACAUAAGAAUUGCAAGUUGUAGUUUUAAUAUGUAUACAAUUUAAUAAAUUGUUCAAAAUACAAAUGAUUAGAAAACCACACAAAUAUAUAUAUAUAAGACUUUUAAUCAAAAAAAUAAAAAUAAAAAUAAAAAUAACAAAAUAAAACAAUAUAUAUAUAUAUAUAAAACUUUUAAUCAAAAAAAUAAAAUUAAAAUUAAAAAUAAAAUAUAUAUAUUUGCCUUUUUAUUAUUUAAUGUUAAACAAUUCACAUUUCAUAUAUUGUAUUAAUGUGUAUUGGAUUUAUUUAGUAAUAAACAACUUUCUCUAAAUAAUUUGUAAGCUAAUUUAUUUAAAUAAAUUUACUAGUACAAAUAUAAAACAUAAAAUCAAGAAAAUAAACAAAAUAACUAAAAUGAUUUGAGGGAUAUAUUUGUCUUUACAUAGACGUAUCCCAUGGUAUUAUAUCCUAUGUAUUACUAAUACCUCCAAAUGGAAGGUAUUAGUAAUACAUCCUAUAAUACCAUGUAGGAUGUAUAAGUUAUAACUAAUCCAUAGAUUAGUUAUACAUAGGCCCAAAUUCCUACCAAACAUAGUACUAAAUAAUACCAUACAUAAUACAUUGACUAUUUGUUUUAAUGUGGCCUACCAAAUGACCCCUUAAUGUCUUGAUGAGCGAGAAAGGUGUGCUAAUGUAGCUAAUUAGCAGUAUAACACGUAAUUAAUAGUUAAUGUCUAAUAUAGUACACAAAACUCCAAUUCUUGCACCUUAGAGUUAGCAUAAUCAAAUUCUAGCUAGCAAAAGCACUAGGGUAAUUUCCUUUUAUUCAAGUAUUAAUUGGUGGACAAAAUUAUCGAGCACUAAUGUUGAUGGAAGUAUGUAACAUGUACCCCAAGAAGCUCGUACUCGAGGUGCACCCAUGCUUGCGGACACCGUGAUACUCUCAUUCCUUCCUGCAUUGAAAAAUAAAAACAUCCACACACUUCUUGGAGUAGCAAUUGAAAUUUCAUUUAUGUUUGAUUGUAGUAAGAAACGUACUAACUAGUCCUAGCUGACCCACUCUGUUUGCCCAAAGUAAUGGAAUGCUAACACCAAUUGUCAACUAUAGAAGUUGAAAUUUACCUACUUUUUCAAGCUUUUAAUUAAUUGCCUAACCUAUUUGACAUACACUUCUUCUUUUUUUUGGUUUUCUAUUCGAUUCGGAGCUUAGAUUGGAGUCCCGACUAUUUUCGGAUCAGCAUUGCAAGGCUCAUUUAGGGAUAAUGCUCCUAACAAAAUUUUCUCCAUAUCUGGGCUCGAACCAAAGACCUUUGAUUAAAGGUGGAACAAUCCCAAUGAAAUACUUAUUGUAAGUUACCAUGUGCAAACACAUUGCUACAAUUAACAAACGUACUAAAGUAGUUUUAGAAUUUUGGUAUUUCACAAGUAUUAUUUGAACUUCCAUUUUAAGUAUUCUUCAUUAACAUGAUAUGAUGAUUGAUGACGCUGAUUUUAUGGUUUUGAGUUUGAAUUUUCACUAAUUUAGGUUGUCAUAAACGUUUCAAAGAAAAAAGUGAGAAUAUAUUAUACGAUAACAAUGAAUACAAAAAUUAGUAGGACGACUCAAAUGAAAUACGUUUCGAGAUUUCAGUAGAAAUAAAAGUUGGCAAAUUAUGUUUGUGUUGCAUUAAUAAGCAAAUGGACAGAUAAUGUUAGCUAAGCGUUACAAGUUACAACUACUUGCAUGACUUGGUGAUUUUGUUAAUUGUCAAUGAUAGUGUGAUAAAUCUGCAAUCACAAAUUUUAAUAAAUUUUGAAUUAUUUGCUUCCACUUUGACCGAUUAUAUAAUUUGUUGUAGACACACACACUAUGAGACAUGAAGACCAGCUGGGCCAUUAAUCUUGUUCGAGGUUGGCUGAAAAAUUUAUGAGAUGUACCACCGCUUAUUAACUGUCACAUGACAAUUGAUUUGAAAUCAAGGGCUUAACCCAACUAAUUACAGAUAAAGCAUUUUACUUUGCUGUCCUUUCUGUUUUGGCAGGGGGGAGAAGAGGUAGGGAAGGGGACUGGUGCGCUCAUUCAUUCAUAUUUACUUUUCACUCGUGUUUAACAUAUUUUUUUUAUUUUAGUUUACUUUAUUUUUGAGUAAUAUUAUUAAAACUAGUUGUCUCGUUUUAUUUGUCAAUUAAAAAAAUUAAGAUAAAAUUGACUACAUUUUUCCUAUUUUAUUCUUCCAAUUAAUUCUUUUUUAAAUUGUAAACGAGUUUAUAAAGUUAAAAAAAUCUUAAGAGGGUAAAUUAGUAAAAUUAUUUUUCUUAUAUUUAUGAUUUCCUAAGAAAUGUGUAAAGGAUAAAGUAGACAACUAAUAUGAGUCGGAGGAAUCGAAGUACUUGUCAAUUUUAGCUAAAUUAAGAAAGUUAAACUAUUAUUAAUUUUUCAUACCGCCCUUUAGUAUUAAAUAAUUACAUAAAAAAAAUAACUACAUAAAAUAGUAUUCGUAGUCAAAUUUAGAGUUGCAAAAUAUCAUUAAUAGGUAUAUAAUAAAAUACACCUCUAAUCAUAUUAAUGUCUUUUUAAGGGGCAUAUGUUAAGUUAAUUAAUAUGAGUCAAGUAAUAUAAACCGGAGAGAAUAAUUGAGAUUAUUAUUAAUUUUUUUAUUGGGUGUUCAAAAAAAAAGUAAUUAAAAGUGACUAGUAAAUAGAACCUUUAAAAAGUUGUAAUAUUACAUGCAAACCAGUGUUAUAAAGUCAAAUAUCGCAGAAAGUUUUCCUUAGUGUGUGAAAUUGAACGGAAAUAUACGAAAUUAGCAUGCUCAUGUAUGUCAGCCAGUUAUUUUGCCACAUGAAUCAUACAAACGUCUUAUGCUAGCUAAUUAAUCGAUCUAACAAUAUUAAAGUUCCUUAACUCACCAACAAGGUUGUGUUGGAGUGAUAAGUACUCCUUUAUUUUUAAUCAUUCUCGAGUUUGAGUCCCCUUGAUUACGAAGUCAAUGUGGACCGGACACUGGGUUGGGGAACCAAAAAAUACAGCCCCCUAACUCUAUAUAAGGACGAGUAGAGCUAGUUCACCUUUAUUGCCUACACAACUUACAUAUUUUACGUUGAAUUAAGUGUGUGAAAAUGAUGAGGCUUGUUAUUGUCCUGUUUCUGGGUCUGGUAGUGUUAGAUGAUCAUAAUGCUGUAGUACAAGGCAUUGAAGUAGCUGUGCUGAGGAAAUUGGCAGCCAAAAACAAUGUAACAUGUUUGUUGGUGUUUGGAGAUUCAAGUGUAGAUCCUGGAAAUAACAACCAUAUUUCUACUAUAAACAAGGCUAAUUACUUGCCUUAUGGGAUGGACCUUAAUUCUCAACCUACUGGCAGGUUCUCCAAUGGAAAACUUGCCACAGAUUUCAUUGGUAAUUACUUACUCAAUCUUGCUACUAUAUAUUCCAUCUCUUCACCACAAAUUUCCUAGUUAAUUUUUAUUUUUAUUUUUUGUUAGUGAAUUAAUUCUGUUUAUUCUUUUUGUUUUUCCUACAAAUUUGUAAAAUAGUGAUACUAGAUCACCAUUUCGUAGUUAUGCUUGACUCAUAAACAAUGUGCCUCCACUUUGUUUAACUUGACAAUAGAAAAUUAAUUUACCUUUUGAUCCAUGAAAAUCUUCACUAGUUUUUUUCAUCUCAAAUAUAUAUUCUCCACUAACAAUUUUUUUUUACCGUAAAAAAGUUAAAUCUGAUAUUAAGUCAGUUUGUAAAGUAUAUUUGGACCUUUUAAAUUAUACUAUUAUAUUUACUGUCUAAUUAAUAUAUUAAUCAGUAGAAAAAAGAGGGUCUCAGAAGUAAAAUAAUGGUUUUGCAGCGGAGGCACUUGGUUACGUAAACAUGACCAGAGCGUUUCUAGACCCACAAAUAAAUAAGGUGGAUAUGCUACACGGCAUUAGUUUUGCUUCAGCUGGCUCUGGUUAUGAUGAUCUUACUGCCAAUUUCUCGGUACGUUUUUUUUUUAAAAUUAUCUUUUAACCUCUUCCUACGAGCUUCCACUUUUUUUGCUCUAUGAUCACUCGAACCUUCAAUCUUAAAGUUGAUUUGAGAAAUCUUAAUAUCUCAGUUGGUCGAUUCCUCACCCUGUGAAUUGUGAUCCCCUUUCCCUACCUCAAUUUUUUUUAAAAAAAAUAAACUUAGUCCCGUUUUUGUUUAACAUUUUGGCCUUAUAUGUUUUUUUUUUCUGAAAAAUCAGAAUGCAAUGACACUAGCGAAGCAAAGGGAGUAUCUGAGGCACUAUGAAAUCCACUUGAGCCAAAUGGUGGGAGUUGAUAAAGCAAGAGAAACUAUGAAAAAUGCACUAUAUAUAUUAAGUAUGGGAACUAAUGACUUCCUACAAAAUUACUUUCUGGAAGUUAUACGUUCUAUGCAAUACACAGUGGAACAGUAUCAGAACUUCUUGAUCCGUUCCCUGUUUACUCACGUCAAGGUACACCCCCCCCCCCCCCCCUCUUUUUUUNNNNNNNNNNNNNNNNNNNNNNNNNNNNNNNNNNNNNNNNNNNNNNNNNNNNNNNNNNNNNNNNNNNNNNNNNNNNNNNNNNNNNNNNNNNNNNNNNNNNNNNNNNNNNNNNNNNNNNNNCGUAAAGUUGUUUCCGUGUGACCUAUAGGUCACGGGUUCAAGCUGUGGAGGCAGUCACUAAUGCUUGCAUUAGGGUAGGCUGUCUACAUUGCCCUUCCUCGGACCUUGCUAAUGCACUUUGUGCACUGGGCUCCCCCCCCCCCCCCCUCUCUUUUUUUUUUAUCGAUGUCCGACACGUUAUAUAAAUCUCAAUUCUUUCACCACAUACUAUUAUUUGUUCAUCAACAUAAGUAUAAAGUAAUUUAUAAUUUGAUCUAUCAAAAUUUAGAUAUUUCAUUGACCGUUGGACCACAGUCUGAAAUGCAAUUACACACAUUAUUUCCCCUUUUCUAGAUUAUUAUUUUUUUAGUAAAAAGAUUCACCAUUGUUGGGGUAGGAUCCAAAACCAAUUCAAUUAUAUGCAACCAAACUUGUUGAUAUUCUAUUUGAAUUAAUGAUAAUAAUUAAAUUCAGCAAAGUUUGGUUGGUGGAAUUAAAAUGACUUGUACGUACAUACGUUACCUGUUCCAGCUGCCUAGUCCCACUAAUGAUUCAAAGCGUGGGGUACGUAAGGCAUAUAAAAAGAAGUGUGUUCUCUUGGAAAUUAUAUUUAAUACGGUACUUCCCUUUCAAUUCAUUUUCUAAUUAAAGUUUUACCAAAAUAUAAUUUAGUAUAUAUAUCCGCUCCCCUUUGUAAAAUUUCAACAGUUAUUUCCAAAAACAUAACAUACCGUGAAAACAAAAUCAACCAUGCAGUUUGUUUAUUGAACCUAAUUUAGUAUAUCCGCCCCCUUAGAAAAAUUUCAAUAGUUACCUACACACUUAUUAUAAAUUUAGAAUGGCUUAACACUUACGAAUUUAAAUUAUAUAAAUUGAUAGUAAAUUUUUCUAUUUUCAACAGAUAAUUCAUAGUCAAGGAGCAAGAAGAUUAGCAGUGGUUGGAGUUCCUCCUCUUGGGUGUGAACCACUUAUUAGAACCAUUCGAGAUGAUGAAACCAAAUGCGAUGAUGAUUUGAACAAAGUUGCUUUCACUUUCAAUCUCAAAAUCAAAAGAGAAUUGCAAGCUCUUAAAAGAUUAUUUGGGAUUAAAGUUGCCUACAUUGACAUCUAUAGCAUCAUUCUGGAAGCUGUCCAAAAUCCCCAAAAAUUCGGUAAGAAAUCUACGUUUAUUGUUCUUAGUCAGAGGUAACAAUAUAUAUCAUAAAAUCAUUUUUACUAGAUACUAAAAAUCAUGAAAGAAAAAAUAAACAAUUAAAACUUAGUAAGAAUUGAGUGAGUUAGGUCUUGACCCACCCAAUAAUUUUUGGACGGAUCAAUAACCCAUCGAUUUAUUAACUCAACUCAUUUUGACCUGUCUAAAUUCAGCUCAAUCUGCCUAUUUGUCACAUCUACUUUUUGUAUUCCAAAAAAUAUGUUUCAGUCAUUAUUAUCUCACAUAUAUUAUGAUAUUUGAUAAGUAAACAAAAAAAAUAUUUUUCAAGAAAAUAUAUUUGGUAUAAUUUUAUAUGGAUAUUAUAUAUGUUGCUAAUGAAUUAUAAAUAUAAUGGAACAGGUUUUACAGAGACAAGUAAGGGGUGUUGUGGGACAGGAACAGUAGAGUAUGGAGAGAGUUGUAAGGGGUUGAAAACUUGUGGUGAUCGAACAAAGUUUGUGUUCUGGGACGCUGUUCAUCCUUCUGAGAAAAUGCAUAAGAUUAUGGCUAAUGAAGCUCUUAAAGCUAUUAAUGUUGAUUUACUCGACUAAUAAUCAUCUUUUUCUUUUUAAUCAUUUUGUUAAUUAUUGUUACUUGUUUCCUACCAAUAGUUUGUAGUCAUGUUUUCUUCUAUGCUUUGUGCCUUAAUUAUUCGAGAUUAAUUAGCAUGUAGGGAAGUUAGCUUAUGCUAUUGGAAACUUUCGAACGUGUGGUUUCCUUCAAUUAUCAGUUUUUUAAAAUGUGUACUUUUUACUUACAAGAAUAUUAUUAAUUGCUUUAGUUUGUUUUAGAAGUAGGAAUUGUGCGAACGCAAGCCUUGCCACAAAUUACAAUAUAGGAUCGACCUCUUGAGCCGACCUAAUGGAGGUCAAUUACCUAGGCUAUCGACCUUGUGACUUUAGUUUUUGGAUGUCAAUAUAAUAAUGUACUCGAAAUUUAAUCCAAGAAACAUAAAUUAAGAGUUUGAAUAAUUUCACUUUAUCAUGAAAAAUAUAAAAAGUAUAAAUUAAAUCAUCCAAUUAUUACACUCGGGCUUUUUUCAGAGAAUGGGCUUCCCUCAAGUUGGGUAAUUUUGUGUUUAAAUGGUACCUGAAGGAUUAAAAUGGAACAAAGUUGAGUUGGAGUGCUAAAAUAAAAUUUAAGGACAAGUUUAAGGGGCUGCAUAUGUGUUUAGCCUAGUUUUUAAGUCUUUAUAGUUGAAAAAUAAUUAUUGUUCUGACUUCUGAGUUUCCGUUUAUGUUUUGAAAAAAAAAAAAAUAUUCCAUCUAACAAUAGGAUAAAGCUUAUAUCUUACCUAUUCAGUUAGAUCUGUAUUCAGAAUAGUAAAUCAAAAUCUCAAUUCACAUCUUACUUAAAUCCAACAUAAAAUAUUUCAUAAAAGACAAUAUCCAAUUAAUCAUCAAACACAUCUACCCCACAACGAAAUACUUUUUUAUAACUUAAGCAUAACAUCAACGGUGGGACGCAGAGAAUUGAACAAAUUAUAAUACGUAGCUUGAGUUGGAUGGACUGCGUCCCAGAAAAUAUAUUCCGAAGCAUUAAUGCAAACAAGUGAAUUUGGAUUGCACAAAAGUGCAAGCUCGAAAAGCCCAGUUCCACAACAACCAGAGUAGACGUUAUUAAAACCUAUAAAAAUGGUAAGAUAAAUACAUUUAUUAAUUAAUCAGAAAAAAAUAAUUUACUUAAACAAAAAAAAGAAGAAUUAAAUUUUGGUCACUCACCAUACUUGUUGGGAUUUUGUACCAUGUCAUAGAAAGGAUUGUAUAUAUCAGCAUAUAUUAUUUUUGUUCCAUAAGUAAUCAUAUUUUUUAACAUAUUUUGAAGAAGCUGAUUAUACUCUUUUCCUACGUCGGAAUAUGAAUCAAUACAUUGACGUGGUUGCAAUGGGCUGCCGGCCGUCUUCAUGGUGAUCACCACCGGUAAACACCCCAUUGGCGGUAACCCUACUAUUCCGAUGACUCGAGCUCCUUCAGCCAUUAAAUCCUAAAUCAAUUCAACAUUGAAAAUAUAUAUACUCAGGAUGAGAAAUCAAGAAAAUAAGUAAGAAAACUACUUAAAUUUUCUUUACAAAGAAAAGACAUUUUUCAUGAAAGACAUACUUUCCUUCGUACCAAACACACAUUUAAUACAAUGAUAUGAUGCUUCAUAAUAAAUUGAUGUGGAGUGAUAUAAUCUAGGGAGAAAUACAUUCUACAAUCGUUAAACCCAAUUUUAAUAAAUUUCAUUUAGACAAUAAAAUUAUAAUAUGUUUCAGUUGAGAAUCUGAACACAUGACAAAGUGUUAUGUGAAUUUUUAACACUUUAAUAUGCGUGUGUAACAGACUAAUAAUGACUAUUUUUAUUUAUCACAAGUUAAUACUUGUUAUAAAAAUUAUUUAUAAGUAACUCGAUCAUUAAAAUAUUUUUUUGAUAUAGUGAGUAGUAUAUAUAGAACAUGAUUUAUUUAAAAAAUUUAGUUGAAAGAGACAUUACCUUGAGAAACUGUUGAGUUAGUUGUAGCAAAAACUGCUGGUAGUCAGGGAGUGUGUAAGAGUGUCUUCUCAAUUGGGUGUUAAAAUAAUUGAUAACAAAAUCAUUUGUGCCAGCACUUAUAAGGAACAUUGCUUUACUUAUUAACAAUUUUGUUUUUUCUUCCCCAAUCUCAUUUUCAACUCUUAUUUUGUACUCUUUAAAAUAUUCUAGCUGCUGUUCCAAUGGAAUUACGCCCUGCCACAAAUAUAUAUAUAUUUGUCAAUAUAAAUUUAUGGACAAAUAAAAGUCUUAAACAAAUUUCGAGAAUCAUUUUACUCAUUAUUGAAUUAUGUUUGAUUUUUUGGUGAAUUUCGUUAUUGAAAUUUCUAGCUCUGUCAGUGUGCAACAUAACUCCUGCUAUGUGUAUAUAAUCUUACCAAUGUCAAAACAGUACUUGUAGGAAAAAGAACAGCUUGAUUAUAUUAACUGCUAAAGUUUACAUUCAAAAUUGUAACGCCUGGAAAAUAUAUAGUAAAACCAAAUUACUACUGUUUUCUACUAGACUCAUUAAUGUUAAAGAAAAGAAAGAACUAAUAUAAAUUAAACCUGAUCUGUUACAUUUAUUUGUUGAUGCAUUUAAUAGACCUCACUCGAAAGCUACUUAAAAUGUUCUUAUUUUACUUGUCUAAAAUAGAUGUUUUAUUUAACCUGUCCAUUUUAGUAAAUUGAGAAAAUUUUAUUGAAUUUUUCUUCCCAUAUUAUCCUUAGUAUUAUAUAAUUACAUUACUAAGGUAAUUUUUAUAAAAAAUAAACCUCUAAAUAAAAAUUUAUUUAAAAAUGUGUGAUAGAGCAAUUUGCUUAAGAAAGUAAAAGCCGGUGCAUGUGUGAUGUGUGUAUUUUGCACUAAUUAUUAAUUUGUACUAGUACUAAAUUUUGUCUUGUUAUUAUGCACAAUUUUGAUUACGUGUUGAUUACCCCCUGUUAUAAAUUUAAAGCUGAUCAUAAAUCUAAGCGUUUAACUUUUAUAUACUGUUCGAAUAAUUAUCAGUUGGUCAUCUAAACUAGUGCAAUAAAUUGAUAUAAAUCUAUAUAGUAGAAUUUUCGAUACGGUCAGUAUAUAUAAGUUAUAUAUAACUUAAAGUAAAUCACGAUAAUGUAGAAUUCAUUGAGAGAGAGAUACGCUUAUUUGAGCGGUGAGAGGGUCUAAGCCAGAGCCACCGGAGGCGAAACUAACGCCAGUCAUCAGCUCCUCCAAGCUAAGUAUUGGAUCCAAAUAUGGUGGCACGAAUUCUUUGAGUCCUAUAUAUGAAGCUGUUCCAUACAACACAAAAACAACAUGGUUACGUUAUUAAAAACAAAAGAUAAUAAUAAUAAUAAUAAUAAAUAAAAACACCAACAUUUUUGUUUUUUUGUUCUUUCUUUUCUUUCUUGUGACCCUUGUAUACAUUUUAUGUGUCACACUUUUAUUUUUUAGUCUGUCCAAAUUAGAAUGUCACACUUAUAUAACUUUAAAAUUCUAAUUUUCUCUUCUUAAUCAGAAGAUUAAUUUACAAGCACAAUAAUAUGUACGUAUAACUUGUUUUAAAUUUGAUGUCUAAUCAUAUAAAUUGAAAUAAAAGGAUAACAGUUAGAACAAAUGUACCCAUCAUAUCAGUGACGAGGCGGCCAUUGGUGAAUCUUCCUGUGGGAAUGUGGUUGACAAAGUCCCUUCCAUAGGGAGGAAAAUUGCUCUUUGUAACAGUGGCUCUGCAGUUGUUGUUGCCAGGGUCAACUGUGGAGUCUCCAAAGACAAAGAUAGCUGAAAUGGUAUUAUUGAAGGGCUUAAUUAACACAUUCUUUUUUGUUAAUGGUCCAGUUUCACCUUUAAUGUUACUACUGAUGAUGCUGAUGAAAAUAAGAAAUAACAAUAUUGGAGAAUAUCGAAGAAACAUGACAUGACAAGAACAUCUCAUUUUUGGUCCAAUCGUUGAAAGACAGUAUAAAAAUAAAAGAGGUGACACAAAUUGGACUUUGAGUGGAAUUGUGUGUAAUAUAUACUUAUUUUGUGUAGGUGCAGUAAUUAAAGUGGACCUUUGUUUGGUUUUUUUAUUUUAUUUUUUUAUACCAUUGAUGUCUAAUUAACUUUAUGUUAAAAAAGUCUAAACUCAUGUUAAAGUACUGCAUAUACAAUGGGUUAUAGUCAAGUCCAGUAUUGGUUCUUUCGAGAAAAACUUAGCUAGUAGAUGUAUUACAAUUAAAGAGAUUUUGACAUAUAAUAAAACUGAUAUUUGUGAAUUUAACCUUUUGAAUUUGUAUUGGAGAUAGAUGAUUAAACAGGACAUGUUCCUAGAUAGAAAAAAUAUGAAGGUCGCAUCUAAUUUUCUUUAUCAAUACUGUUAUGUUAUCAUUAUACUCUACCUAACUCAUUUUUAAAUUUUAUUAUUAUUUAUUGUUGUCCUUACAUUAUAUUAUCAUAUUAUUUAUUGUUGCUAUGGUUCUCUUCUCCUUAAUUUUUAGCUUGACUUCUUUACAUGAAAAAUAUCUCUUACGUCCUUUUUAUUUUUGGGGGAAGUUCUGGAAUAGAUUCAAUCAAAUAUGUACAUUGAGGAUGAUAUAUACAAAAAAUUAAAUUCCCGUUUGAACAUGACUAUUUUUUUUUUUUAAAAAAUAUCAUUAUAGAAAAUUAUUUAAAAUUGACUAGCUAAAAUAAAAAAUAAUAGACCAGAUAGGUAAAAGGAGGAUAGAUCUUGUCAUGACCUUUGCGAUACUCAAUCUCCCUCAUUAUUAAUUAUUCAUUCUUAUUUUGAAUUACUCACUUUAAAUACGGAAGGAUAAAAUUAUAACUCAUUUUACUCAACUAGUCAAUUUUAUCCCGUCGAAAUUCAACCUAACACGCCCAUCUACCACCAAGAUGAAAAAAUGAUCACGAUCUGUAAGUAUAUAUAAGCAAUACCAAGUAAAGCAAUUACACAUGAAAAGAAAAUAAGGAGAAAAAAAAACACUAGUACUAACGAAAGAAAGUUAUAAAAUGAAUAGUAAUAGUGAAAACAUUUCUUAUCAAUUACUUAAUAUUGAACUAGUAGUAUUUUAUUAAUCAAAUACAUCGAAUGUUAACAGCCGCAAUAGCAUCUUUUCAAUAUUUUGCUUUGCCAUCAAGUGUUAGAAUUUAUUUUCUCCGUUCACUUUAUAUUUUCACGUUCGAAAUAAUAAUUAGUAUAAAUAUUUUAUUAUAAUAUUUAUAAAUAUCUUAUCAUAAUAUUUAUAUUGAUUAAUAUAUAAUUUUAAAAUAAGUAAUUAAUAUAGAGGGAAAAUUAAAUAUAGAAAAAAAAUAUUAUUUUACUUGAUAUGUUAAAGAUAAUAAAAAAUAGUAAAAAAAUUAUUUUAAAUACUGAACAAAUAAAAAUGAAUAUUCAUCGUCCCUAGGAGAAGCGUGUGGCUUGUUUUUGAGAUCCCGUGUUUCAUUCAUUAUCUUUCUUUUGAACCAAGAUGAAGAAGAGGACCAAUUAAACAAAGAAGUCGGAUUUUAAGGGGGCGAAAUGUCGAAGUCCCACAAAAAUAGGAGUAGUAUUGGAUAAUCCAUUCAUUGCAUGAGUUUGUAUAAAAUAAAUUAUGAUUAUAAUUGGACAAUAUUGAGUACUCUCCACUCAAUAUAUAUAUCUAGGAUUGAUGCACCUUUGGACAUUAAAUUCUACCUAUACACAUGUAUCUACACGAUCAAUUAUUUAAAAAGAUAAUUAUUUCUUUCUUUUAAUUUAUUUUCUUUUUUAGUUCAUUUUUUAUUUAUUUUUAAACUUAUUUUUUUUCCGGGUAACUCUUUAGUUUCAACUUUCACACAUUAAAAUUAAAUGAUAUUUUAGUACAUUUUACAUAUCUUUAAUUUAAAAUCACAGAAUUCAAAAGCCUAUUUUAUGUUCUUUAACUCAAUCUGUAAGUAUAUAUAUUAAUAAAAAGUAUGUUUGCAGCUCGUCUAUUAAGAUCCUAACAGUCAAAUCAUUGUGUUCGUUCUCACUAUCUGCCAAUCAAAUUUAUUCUAAAAUGUUCGGAGAUAGAGAAAUAAAUGAGGGAUAGAAAUAAUGAAAAGUUUUAUGGUAUGUGACAAAAUAUUGAAAAACUAAGAGAUAACCGUCAAAUAUACAUAUGAAUUAUCACUAUUUUUGUGAGCUAAUUUCAUAUCCAAUUAUCAGGUGUAUCCUUUUUCUCUAUUUGAACUAUCACCUACUAAAUAUUUUAUUUUUUGAAUAUUAUUUAUGUACUAAAACACACUUAAUUGAGUAGAUGGUAAUAAUCUAAGUAGGAGAACAGAACAACUGAUAAUUGAUCUAAUCAGCUUCGACGUAUGUUUUAACACAUAAAUAGUAUGAUAGUUCAAGUAGAAAAAAAAAGAAUAAUCAAUAAAUAAAGUGUGAAACUCACGAAAGAUAAUAGCAAUUUGUUUUUUACUAUUAACUUAAAAAUUAAGGAAAUACAAUUAGAGUUCUAGUACAUUGAGCAGGAAUGGUUUGAAAAAGACCAGUACCUUUAAACCUUUAAAGCCAUGGAAAAAAAGGCAGUAGGAAUAAACUUAAAAAGUUCGUUUCCCACUAAACCGCCAAUUAAUUUGUAUUUUUUGAAGAGUAUUUCGCAAGAAAUGGCUUUUUUCUGGAUACACAAAUAAAAUCGUGAUAAGCCAGCAAUGCAAACAAAUGUCAAAGGUAUCUCUAGUUCUUUGAGGUUAAUUAAGUGAGGAAGAGAAAAUUUUAUCCAUACAGAAUGUUUACAUCAAACUAUAUUAACAUGAUUCGGUGAUUUAAUGAAGUAAGAAAACAUAAUAAUAGAAUUAACUAUAAUUUUAGUAUUCUGCAAACACAUGCAUCUAUUGAUUUGAUAUAAACACAUAAGUUUUCACCUCUUUUAAAGUUUUAUUGGAGGAUUUUAAAACCAAUUUAGGGAUUCAAUGUGAACAUUCCUUCCUUAACUAAGAAGUUUAAGAAAAUUAAAUUAGAUGUGGACUUAUUGCGAUCAAAAACGAAAAAAAAUCAACUAGAACAAGUUUUUUCAUACUCUUCACUUGCUUGUUAUCUCAUUAAUCAUUUAGUAAAAACGGGAAUUUCACAAUAAAUAAAUAUUAAAAAAAUAGCUUUUCCAGCUAACAACACACAAAACGAUUAGUCAUAACCAAAGCAUUCAACAAGAAAAUAUUAAAAACAGUAAAGUGAACUCCUUUCUUCAUGUCUAAAUUCUAGUAACAUCCUUGAAUUUAGCUUAGUCAUAAUUUGUAAUACAAGUAUCCUACUGUCUUCCAAUUCAUCAAUUGGAUUAAACCAUUUGCUGAGCUGUUAUUUAAUUCCUAGUCAUUAUUAAACAAUAAGCUAGCCUUGCACAAUAUUAUAAGAUAAGAGUGCUAUCUCUUGUAUUAUAAAUAGUCCUCAAGUUAAUUUAAUUUCAACAAAUAUUUUUUUUUUUCAUAUGAAACAUUCUUUAAAGAUGACUACUCAUGUGGAAAAGAAUAAUCAACAACAAGAUCAAGUAGCAUGUGAAGAGAUUCUAGAGAAUGUUUGGGCAAACUUCAUAUCCAAGAAUGAUCAAAAUUCUCAAAAGGUGACAAAUGAAUAUUGUUGUGAACAAUAUUGGGAACAACUUCCAAUUCUUGAAAGAUUACCAAGCUUAGGAAGGUGGAUAUCAAUGGGAGCUGAAACUUGGGAAGAUAUUCUUGAUGGAAUUAUUAUUCCUCCUCAAGACAACAAAAAUUCAAACGACGAAUCAACAAAUAAAGAUGAUGAAGACGUUGUCAACGUUGAGAAGAAGAAGAUGGUAAUUAAUAAUACGCGGCAUUAUAGAGGGGUAAGAAGGAGGCCAUGGGGAAAAUACGCGGCUGAGAUAAGGGAUUCAUCAAGAAAAGGAGCUAGGGUUUGGCUAGGGACAUUUAAUACUGCUGAAGAAGCUGCUAUGGCUUAUGAUAAGGCGGCUUUGAGAAUUAGAGGUCCCAAGGCCUAUUUAAAUUUCCCAUAUGAAAUUGUUGCUCAAGCCAUGGGAAUAUCUAAUUGUCCUAAUGAAAAAGAAUGGACCUUUUCAUCAUCAAGUCAAUAUAAUUCAAGAAAAAGGGUAUCAAGGGAUUGGAACAUGAAUGAAAAUUUGGAUGAAAUUAAUCAAUUGCCUAAGGAGAAGAAAAUUAUGAGAAGCAUGGAGGAGGAUCUUUUGAAUGACUUGGAUAUCCUAGAGUUUGAGGAUCUUGGAAGUGAUUAUUUGGAUGGUUUAUUAUCCUCUUUGUAAUAGAAGAAAUAAUAAGUUUUAGAUACAAAAUAUAAUUAGGGGAGAUACAAGGUAAGGGAAAUUAAAAUUCUUGGGUAUAAUUAUAUAUGUAUAGGAAUUAAUUAUUGGAUGAAUCAUGAUUUUUUAUUAAAUUAUGUGCCACUUGCUUUUAAUCACCACCUCUUUUAUAUAUCUUUCAUGUUUCAUGCAUAUAUUGAGUUGCAAAAUUUUAUAUUAUUGUCUUUUGUCUUUGUCGAACAUAAUUGACGGUUAGUAUUUUGUAUACAUAGGAGUAUACAGUAUAUAUUUAAGUGGUAUACUUUUGAAGUAUACAAUUCAUAUAGUUUAAAGUAUACAGUAGUGUGAUUCAAUUAUUCUUACAAUUUUUAUACCAUUAAAGUAGUAAAAUGCGAAUUGUAUUGCUCAAAAGUAUAUAAUGUACAUAAUUGCCUUGGAGGGUAAUGGAGAGAAGUCGGAUUCAAUUUUAUAAAUGGAUACAAAUGGAUAAUUUACUUUGUUGGAAUAAUCAUCAAAGUCUUUCUGCUUGAUUUUAUAAUACCAUUUCCUUUUUCUGAGUGAUUAAUUUUCGAGGAGUCUUUUAUGUUUUUACUUUUUAAAUUCUAAUACUCCCACUUUCCCAAAUGAAUUAAUUACACUUUAGUUUGGAAAUAUUAUCCUAAAAUAAUUAUUAUUUUAAAAAAAUAAAAUUGAUAAUUAUUUCAAUUUAUUUUUAUCUAAUAAGAGUAGCAUAUGAAGAUAGAGAUCACUUAUUUGCUAAGUGUUCUUAUGGAAAUCAACUGUGGAAUAGAUUACUAAAUUGGAUUGGACAACCUUCUAUCACUCCGCAAUCAUGGACUCAACAUCUAGAAUGGAGCCUCACUCGUGAAAGGAAAAUCUGCCCAAGCUAGAAUAUUUAGAAUGCUAAAUGCAGAGAUAGUUCAUGCGAUAUGGAAUGAAAGAAACACGAGAAUUUUUGAGAAGAGAAGUCGUGAGAUCGAAAGCCUUGCCCGGGAGAUAGCUUAUACUUGCAGUGCUCGAGCAACACAUGAUGUAAAUAGGUUAAUUCAUAAUUUCCAAUUUUGAGCAGGAUGUACUACACAAUUGAAAUAGUCCAGUUAGAGAUGAGUUAGGAGAUAGCUAGUUGACUUUGACUAAGCUAUGGUUUUGUAAUGUUUUCACUGGUGAUUAAUAAAAUCAUGUUAGUUACCAAAAAAUAAAUAAAAAAAUAAGAGUAGCAUAAUAAAUUAUAUCUGCUAUUAUUUUAUUUUUCUAAUAAGCAUAAGAGAGAUAAAUCGACAACAACAAUAGAACAGAGGAGUAGUAAUAUAAUGUGUUAGAUAUAUCUAUGCCUUACGCCCUUACCCAUCCACCAUCCCUGUGAUUUUGACUUAGUUUUAAGAUCUAACUCUAGAUCACCAAAAAAAGAAAGUCCUAAUUUUUAAUAAGAGAAUACAUUUUUUUUUCGAUCGCAAGAUGAAUUUAGAAUUUAAGUUUGUAAAAAUUAUGCAAAUCACAUAGUGUAAUAGACAAAUAACAUCUUAUCUCUACUCUUUCAUUAAUUACAAAAAUUCCUUCUUUUUUAUACCUUUCGGAUACAUAAUUAUGAGGGAGGAUACAUUAAUUUGGACACUUCUGUCAUCAGAUUACUGUGCUAAAUAAGGGACUAAAAACAGAAAAUAUAAUUGAAUCCCACAAAUCAAGCGUACGUUUCUUUCUUCUAACAAUCAGUCGUUCACAAACAAGUAACAUAACUAGGAAAUUAAAAUUUCAAAUUGUCAAAUUGUGUCUCUCUGUUCUUCCAAAAAACUGCAGAAGCUUGAUUCAAAAAAAAUUGCAACGAAAUUUUGUGAAGAUUCAUAAUGAAUAUUUUGAUAUUGUUAAGGCAUUCAAAAUAUGGAAAAGUGAUGUUAGGUACGAGUGAUACAGAAGUAAUGGGAUAGUGGUUGGGGAGAAUAUUUCAUUCGUGAACCUUAUUUCCGCCAUUGCAGCUGAGUUAAAAGAUCUUAUAACAAAAGGUUUGUGAACAAAUAAUCUUGUGAUACACAGAUUGUAUAACUUUCUUUGUUUUUUUUUAAAAUUUGUUUGUUACUAUAUUAUUCAUGAUACACUGUUAUUUGCAAAUUAUAUUCAUAAUUAGAUUACAUCUUAUGUAUUGGGUGUUGCUUCGUAUGUGUAUGAUGUUUAGAUUUGUGUAUCAUUGCUUGAUAAUUACAAAGUAUCAUAUACGUUUGAAAUACCUCUUCGUUCUUUUAAUGUAUCAAUGAAUAGAAACAUGUAAUUGUGGUACAUAGGUGUAUUUUGUAUCAUUUUUUUUAUAUGUAUCUAAAACAUGUAAAAUUGUGGUGACAGUAAUAAUAUGUAUGAUAUAUAACUAAGAAUAUAUAUGAUCCGUUGAGCUGAGUUAUAAUAAUGUAUCUUGAAGUGUAAUUUUUUUUGGAAUAAUACAAUAAACAUUAAAUAAUAAAUAUAUUUGGUACAAUUGUAGCUAUGUAUUAGUGUGUUAUGCAGUUCCAAUGGAAUCAAUGCCAGACAAAAGUGAUUGGUCAGUUCCGAAAUGUGUUUUGAAAGAAGUUGUCUUGCCACAAAGAUACAAAAGAAUGUCCAGUAGAUCAAGGAGUAAAAGGAAGAAAAUCCAGAUGAAAAACUAACAUCAAACACGAACUGUUGUGGCUGUGGACAAGAAGACCACAAUCGAAGAACUUGUACUUUCUUCCCGAAAGAAUCUUGAUCAAUACUUUUUUGGAGUACUUUGUUUUUCAGAUCUAACAAUUCUCAAAUUAUAACAUUUCUUUCCACUGUUACAAAUGUUUACAUUGAAAAGUACUUUUAGCUUACUAAUUUCUGAUUCAAUAAAUUAAAAUGUUACGUUUUUCAGUUCUGCCUAUAUUUUUUUAUUGUUAAUUUCUGAUAAAAUGAAUCUGGUAUACAUAUUGUGUAUUGUUUUGUGUUUGAUACAAAGUUAUUUUUAAAAUAUACAUUGUGUUGGUUAAGUAAUUAAUGUAUUUGUAAUUGCUAAUAAGUACUGAAAAUACUAUUACAUUGCAUUGAUUUGUUUAACAUAAUGAAUCUGAUACUUAAUUCUUUGAAUUUUUUUGUAUCGGUUAAUAUAGUAUCGAGUGUUGUGAUAUGUACCGGAUAAGAGUUGUGAUGUGUAUCGGUUAAGAGAUAUAAUGUUAAAAAGUACUAAAUAUAAUACAAAUUUAGAGGAUUGUAACAAUUGUAAAUAUAUAGUAUCAGGUUUUGUGAGAUACAUCAAUUUGUGAUUUUGAAAACAUGAUAAAUAAUAAUGUGUAUCAUAUACAUAAUAUAUUUUUUGUUAAAUUUGUAUCAGCUUAUAAUAUAGUAUCAAGUAUAGUCAUUUGUACCAAAUUUAUAAGAGACAUAAUGUUAAAAGGUACUAAAUAUAUUGAAAAUUAACUAAUUUGUAUCAGGUAUAAAAAUAUAGUAUUAGGUGUUGAUACAUACAAAUUUGUUAUAUUGAAAGUAAUUGUGUAUCAUAUACAUAAUAAUUUUUUGGAAAAUCUUGUAUCUGCUAAUAAUAUAGUAUCAACUAUAGUGAUGUGCACUAUACUUAUAAGAGACAAAAUUUAACAAGGUAUUAAAUAUAUUGAAAACAAAAUGAAAAGCGAAAUAAAUAAUUUUCAACAUAAAAACUCUUCACAUUUAGAAGUAAUAUCUUUAAAAGGGAAGAAAUACUCAAAAACACUAAUUAAUGUAUCUUAAAAACAAUAGAUCAUCAACAACUGUCGGUGAAUCGAUACAUAAGAAUCUAUUCUACAUUAACAAGAUCAUCUUCUGUUGGUGGAGUGUAGUCACUCUUUUCCUUGUAGGAUCAUCAUUCUCGCUAACAUAUCCCGUCUUGGCCUUGUUGAGACCAUACUUUCAUAACCGUGUUGCAUAUCUUGUGCAAAGAUAGUCACUUCGAAAAUCAUUAGAUGGGAUGUUGAUUUCAUCACUCAGAAAUUCAACAAAAACAACAAAAAACAUUUCGCAGUCACUACAAAAAAAGAAGAUACAUUAUAAAAACAGAUCAAAUGUGUAAGUAAAGAAAAAUUAUUUCAAUAGCUACAAACUGUCGCUUUCUUGUUGCAUAAUAUCUUGAACAAAUUUCACCUCAAAUGAAUGUUGUGGAUUCAAUAGUUCAACAGGGGAAGACAUAAAUUUAAAACAAAAUAAAUAAAUACUAAAAUACAUGGUUCAAUACAUACCCUGGAUAGUGUAGAUCGAGAUAUGGCGGGGGAAACCUUUCUACCUCUUUUUUGUUGUUGUUUUUCAACCUUUGCUUUUGAUGAUGCAGGUACAUCCUUUUUCGCUUUUGCCUUCUUUGAACUUUGAUUUGCCAUUGUUAAAGGAUCCUGCAACCUUUUAGAUCUGUUUUUUUGUCCAUUUGAGAUUAUCAGAAUCAAAGAUUCGAUUAGUAUUAGGUGUAACUAUUUUGGGUAAUCCCCAUGCUAAAUGAAGGAGCAUCCAUAUGUAUUAGACAAAAUGAUGAAACAAGAAAAAACGAAGAAGAAAAUUGAAGAAGAUGAAAGUACCUACAAAUCUGAAAUUAGUUGACUGGAGAAAGAAACCUCUUGAAAUUCAAAUUUUGAUUAAUGUGGUAACUGAUUUGAUUAUGUGAGUGAAAAGAGAGAGAAAUUGAAGGAGUAAAUAUAGGAGUUAGAAAUGUGAGUUUGGAGUGGAAAUGUGGAUUUUGAGUGAAAAGAAGGAAUUUUCGUAUUAUUUUAAAAUGGUAGGGAAAUAUUGAGAAUACCGUAACUAAUGGUGUAUACUUUGAUAAUUUUUCCUUUAAGUUUUGUGGGUUCAAUUUCUUGUGAUUCUUAGUAUUAAACAUUUUCAAGUUAUAUAUAGAUUCAUGUCUAUUAUUUAUUACAAUUUGAAUAAAUUUUUAUAUAUAAAUUUAUAUUUCAUGUUAAAAAUAAUUAUAAAUUCAAUUAAAUUCGCAUCGAUAAUGAUACAUCCGAUCGCGCAUAUAGACAAGAGGCUUGACUAACCAUCUUGUUAUUUAUUUAUUGACAAGAAAAAUGCAAUAUGGAUCCUUCUGUAAAAGUUGGUAGGUAUCUAACAUAAAUAUUGCACACUUCAUUGAUUACGUAUAAUGUUUUUCUAGAUGGGAAGACGGUUGAAAUUUAUAAUUAGAAAAAUUAGACGUGCUUAAUUUGGUCCUGGUGUCUUUAUACAUAUACAGUAUUAAUUUUCUUUCUUCUCUUUAUGGUAAACGUGUGACAAAUAUUUUUAUGAUUCUAUUCCUAUUGUUCUCGAGUAGUUUAUAAAACGAAAAGUCAUCAAGGUGUGCUUAUAAAGUAACUUAAUUUUAAAAAAAGGUUAUCUUUGUUUUGGAAAGAUUUAUCCUUUUUGUAAAGAAUAUCCUUUGGCAAUUACAAAAAAAAUAAAUAAAAAAUAAAAAAAAUAAUAUAUAUAUAUAUAUAUAUCUUUUAUUAUGUGAGGAGUCUAGAAAAAGUGGAGACGAAGCUAAGAGAGAAAUCAACAUUAACAAGCAUAACAAAUCAUCAUACUCUUUAACUUGACUUCAGUUUAUAUAUAUGUUCUCGCACUUUGAAUGUGUAUAAGUAGAUACUUAAACUUAUCUAAAACAAAACAAGUAGACAUAUAUGUCCUAUGUGGUCAAUAUGCAUCCCAUGUGGCGUCCUAUGUGUAUUAUGUCACGUAGAGCGUGUGUGUCUACUUGUUUAAAUUUAUACAAAAUUAAGUAAUUAUUUAUGCACAUCGAAAAUUGAAAGACAUAAAUAUCAACCUCUGAAGUCAAGUUAAAGAGUAUAUUUAUAUAUUACGUCAAUAUUAUCAUAUUAAAAGUAUAACUUAUGUUAAGUCUCUAUUCUUAAAACAAUUUUUUUUAACUCUAAAAAAUAAUAUAUUUAUUUUUUAUAUGGCGGUUACAUUGGGGAGUCGAGAGACAACUUUAGAUAAUUACAAAGUCAAUAGGCAGAUAUUGCAUCUCAAUCCUUUCUUUAUAUUCAAGACAAUUCUCGUGUGUCUUUUGACUGCUGACCAAUACGCAAAGUGCUCUCACCAAAUUUUAUAUUUUCUCUAUUAUACAAAUAUAGACAGCUCUAGCCUUUAAAGUAUGAGCUCGGAAAAAUUCUUUAAUUUUUAUUCAUAUUUAGUGUUUACAUUUAAAAAUUUACAAAGUAUUUAUAAAUUAUUAAUUAUAAAUGCAUUUAUUAUUGUAUAGUAUUAAUUAUUAAAAAUUAUUUUAUUAUUAUAGAGCUAAUAUAAAUCCGAGUGUUAUUAUCAUUACAGAUGGGACUUUGGGAUUGUGAGGUGCUUGGCCGAUUAAGAUAAGUCGAUUAUAAUUCAACUGGUCAAAUUUUAAAAUUAUUUUCACUUAUUUAUUUAUCCUUAUAUUGAUAUAAUUACCGAAUUAGAUAGAAAAGUUUUUCCUUUUAUUUAUCAUGAGUAAUAUAUCAAAUUAUCAAUCAAACCGGAAAAAAGAUUUGGGUAUACAUAUAAUAUUCCGUUUGAUUUGAAUUUUGAGAAGAAAAAAAACUAGAAAAUAGAAUGUGUCUAUUACAACUUAUAAACAUACUAAGUAUCCUAAGCAAUCUUUUUACACAAGAUUAUAGCGUGCAUCGCUGCAAACAAUUCAAAAAAGGAAAUAAGAGAAUAGAGAAGCCCAUAAUAUAAGUACAACAGCGAAAUUUUAGUAGUUCAAUUGAUUCGUACACCUGAAUACAUAGAUAGAGAUAUUCCCUACUUGCCAACACAUUAUUCGCUUAGAGCACCAAGAAAUUCUCCAUGCACAGCUCUGUUUUAACAUCUUGAGAAAACUCCUUGGAAAUUUUUGAUUCAAAUGCAUCACUCGUUCCACUUGAAACUUCAUUCGAACUUGAAUUUGAAUUAUUAUUGGUAGUGUAACUAUUUGAGCACAAACUUAAUUUUUCUACUGAAACAGAGGCAGUCACUAUUUCAGAUGGAAAAUUAAGUAGUGCCUUAGCACCUCGCAUUCUAAAAGCCGCCCUAUCAUAAGCUAACGCAGCUUCUUCAGCAGUUUCAAACGUACCUAGCCAUACUCUCGCACCGUGUCUAGCCGAAUCGCGAAUUUCGGCAGCGUAUUUUCCCCACGGACGACGUCGUACGCCUCUGUAUUUCUUGCCUAUGCACUGUGACGGACGAAGAUUAUUAGUAUUUCUUGGAAGUAAUUGAUUUCUUUGGGGUAAAUAAGGGAUGUUUAGAGCAUUAGCUUCAUUAAGAACUUCAUAUAAUACCAUCUCUUGUGAGUCAUUCUCAUUAAGAGGUAGAUCACUUUGAGGAGUUGGAACCAUAGCUAUAAUUAGAAGGGAUUUUGGUUAAUUUGUUGGGGAAAAUGUUUAGUUUUAUGAGGUAUUUAACAUAAAGGGAUACUAGAAAAGUAAUCGUUUAAUCGUGGGAUUUUUAUGAAUUUUAUUUAUCUCGUGGAGAAAGAGGAAAGUAUGAGGAAACAAGUGAAAAAUUAUGCAAGUCUUUUUCAAUUUAUAUUAUAUGGUUGGUGUCUUGAUGGGAUGUGACAUGGUUUAAUUAAUUACCCCCUGUUUGCGUUGAUAUUUCAAGUUUAUUUAAUUGUGUACAUGUACAAUGAUGUAUACUUGGUUUUGUUUAAGAGUAUUGAUGUCAGUAUUAAAAAAAAGAUUGGACGCAAUUUGAUCACUUUAGAAUAAGGGGAAGUUGUUGCCCGUGGAAGACGCCUUUUUUGAGGUGGAUAUUAGUGGUGAAAACCUCGUUUUCGAUUACAUAUAGCUCAAAAUGAUAAAAGAUUUGAAAUUCAUUUAUUUUAUACGAGAUUUAGAUCAUAGUUAUUAGAUUGAGUUGAAUUUGUAACCGACACUGCCUUUUGAUUAUAAUCUUAAGUGCAUGCUAAUCUUAGAAGAAUAAAAAUAUUGAAGAAAUUAGAUCCAGGUCAUCCAUGGUCAAUUGAGAUCAUAUAAAUAAUUUUAUUGUUUUAAAUUAAUAAAUAAAAAGACACAAUAGUUAAGGACUCCUCCUAUUUGAUAAGAAGGAGAAUUCCUAUAAAGUUUCAGUGAAAAUUAAUGCGAUCUUUUCUUUGAAAAACACUGCAAUAAUUUUUUAUAGACUAUGAUUCUUUAUUAUAGUUCGUGUUUAGAUACAUAUGAUUACACUGUUAAACUAGUAAAACGAUUUGGUAUGUUUGAUUAGAUUCUUCACUCUUUGAUAGCCGAAGGGGAUAUUUACAAUUCAAUGCGAUUAGAAGGCACAUAUUCGUUAAUUUGAUCCAAUAGAAGAAACUUCCACAAAGGAUGAGCAAGAUGACUCACAUUUGACGUUCUAGAGACUACACAUCGAUGUGACUUCACUGGGUUCGUAAGGCUUUCCUUGGUCUAUUUGGUGGGCCAAUAAAAGGAUCUAAUUUUCCAAGACAUUUUGUUUUACAAUUGACUUUAAUAUAGAGUCUAGUAUUUAACAACAAGGUUCAUGAAUCAUGAAUCAUCAAUAAAUUAAAAAAAGAAAAAAGUGCUAAUUUAGACUUCUAUUUGCUUGACUUCUUGUCGUAAGAAUAGGAUCUAACAUCAACUCAUUUGUUCAUCUAUAUACAAUGAUAAUUAUUAUUGUUCCAUCCGUUUCAAUUUAUUAUUUAAUUUGAGAUAAAUUUUAAGAAAGUAAUUAUUUUUUUUAAAAUUUGUAGUCAUAAAUUAAAAAUAUGUAAAAUAUACACCACCUUUUAUUUUUGCCAGUGGAAAAUUAAAAAAUUUAUAGUUGCUAAAGAAAAAGAGUUGAGUACUCUUUUUGGGAUAACUGAGUGAGUAAUUUAGAUGAAGAAUAGUCUUUUUUUCACAUGGUUUUAAACAAAAGAUAUCGACGUUCAAAUGACUAAUUUAACUUUUUGAAAUGAUGGGUAUUCAAUAUUGAUAUUAUACUAUGAUAAGAAUUUUAUAAAGCAACAUUCUUUGGCUGCGAAUUUUCAAUAUAUAUAGGGUAAAUUAUAGAAAUCACAUACUUUUAAGGCAAAAUUACAAUUUAUCCCUUAAAAGUUUAUAAUUACAAAAAUUCCUCAAACUGAUAUAAUAAUAUAAGCGCUGAUACAUUAAUCUGAUGCGCGAGAUACAAUAAUAUAAGCGUUGAUACAUUAAUCUGAUGCGCGAGAUACAAUAAUAUAAGCGUUGAUACAUUAAUCUGAUGCGCGAGAUACAAUAAUAUAAGCGUUGAUACAUUAAUCUGAUGCGCGAGAUACAAUAAUAUAAGCGUUGAUACAUUAAUCUGAUGCGCGAGAUACAAUAAUAUAAGCGUUGAUACAUUAAUCUGAUGCGCGAGAUACAAUAAUAUAAGCGUUGAUACAUUAAUCUGAUGCGCGAGAUACAAUAAUAUAAGCGCUGAUACACUAAUCUAAUGCUCGAAAAUGAGGGAUUUUGGAGAUUUGUAAAACUUAUAGGGAAUAAUGGUAAUAAGUAAACUAUAAGGUGAGAUUUCUAUAAUUUUUUCAUAUAUAUAUAUAUAUAUAUAUAUAAAAUUGUCUUUUCUGUGGAUUAUUAUUUAUUUGUAAGACUGCAACAGGUAACAUUAGGCAAACCCUCCUAACACAAACAUGGUGGAAAAUAUGAACCCCAAAGGCACGACACAUCACACAUGGUCGCCAAACUAUUGUGCCCACAUUUAUUUGUGUAAACUUAGCUGCAAAUAUAUUCAACUUCUAAAAAAGAGAUGUAUAUUUGAAAAUUAUUUAAGUUGGUAUACAUACUUCAAAUCAAGAUAGUGGGUGUAAUCUUAUCUCGAUGGCAAGGGUGGUUCAAGGUAAGACUAGUAAAAUGUUUGCUUUAGGCCUCAAAAUUUUGAGAUUCAAAAAAUUUUAAUAGUGAAUUUUAUGAUUUUAGUUAUAGGUGAAACAAUAUCGAACAUUACAAAUAUAUAUAUAUAUAUAUAAGAAGAGUAAUUAUCUACUUUUUAUUUAAAAUAUUUUAGUACUUUGAAUUGAACAACUCAAAUCUUCAUUAUUAAUAAAUAAACUUUUUACAUUAAAAUUCAACGUGAUAUAUUGCAAACAAUGUCUAAUCUCUUAUUAACUAAAUCUAAUCUUUACGUUUAUAAAUAAUAAUAUGUGAAGUUAACUAAUCCUUACGUUUAUAAAUAAUAAUAUUAUAAUUUGAAGUUACGCUUAAGAAUAUAGACUAACAACAAAUAGUACACAAGAACAAAAAAAAUAUCCAAAAUUAAUACUAAUAAUUUUGUCCAUGUCUUUGGUUUUAGGCCACUAAUUUUAUUGAGACGCCCUUAUUCGAUGAUAAAUUGAACUGGCCUAAAUUUAACUAAUAAAAUGAAAAAUUAUGUUGUAAGGCAGUUCUUAAGACUAUUUUUUUCUUCACUAUUACAAAAAUAGAUAAUUAUGAUUUGAUCAAAAACUUAAUAAUAUCGAACAAAACAAUCAUCUCGGCUUAUCAAGAAAACUUUCAAAGGCUUAUCAAGAAGAAUUUCAAAGCUAAGGAGUAGGUAGAAGAUGCUUGUUAAUUACAUAGAAGAUCAAUUCCAAAGAUUGCACUAAUUUUCCGUGAAAAAAAUGAACUAAUUGAGUAUGAUGGAAGAUUCCCAAAAUAGUUGUUUAUUGUGAAGUUGGUUGCUCACGGAAGGUUAUACAUGAAAAGUAGGAUGAUUGGAAUGAAUGUUAAUAUAGUAUGCAUGCCCUUUGUAUGAAUCGAAUAAUAAAUCGUUUUCAUCUGUGUGGAACAAGUUACUAUAAUGGCUAGAUCAGACACGACAAGCAAAAGCAUGAUACUAAUAACUUAUAUUGACAGUGGAUCAAUAUAAUGAGAAUAGUGCUAUAAUAACAAUAUAUCCUUAAUUAACCGGCUGCAUUAUCAUAUGUGGCAAGAGAGGAACCAAAUUAUUUUCAACGCAAAAGAAGAUAAGUAUCGGUACGUGAAUGAAGAGAAUAAUUCAAGAUGUAUAUUUCAGAGGCGGUCUCAAAGUGAAAUUAACUAAAUACUUGACUAUCUUGAACUACCAUAUAUCCAAGUUGUCGACAGAUGAUUAGGAAAUUGAAGGUUAUUAGUUAUGUUUGAUCUAGUCACAAUGAUUUUUUUUUUAGCUGUAAAAUUCUAUUUGAUAAUAAAAUACUUUAAAAAAAUAUCGGACAAAAUAGGUACGACUUUUAGGAAAACUUACAAAUGAAUAAUGGAGGAGGAAUCUGUAAUUACCACCUUUUCCCCCUUAUAUCAUUAGCAACUACGUUGGAAAUAAUGUAAAAUGUGCUAUUUGGAGGCUGAAUGAUCUCUAUUAUCCAAAUCUCGUUGCUUAUGUUCACCUUCAAAUAUAGAGAACAAAAAAAUGAUUAUAUUAGAUAUACGUUAUGGUUAAAAAUUAGAACAUUGGAAGCAUCAUAAUCUUGAAAAUUUCGCAUCUAGUAAUAUGAUAUUAGCACUUAUAUUACUCGGCGAUGAAAAAUUGAGAAAAAAACUAGUUAAUCUUUAUACACCAUCCAAGUCAUCUAAAUCUAUGUAGAGGUAAGCUAUAUUUAAUUGUACAAUCUAAAAUUUUAAAAUAAGUAUGUUACCUACUAGUCUAGGAGUGGCAAUUAGGUGUGUUGGAUCAAAUUUGGAUGGGCCAUAAUGGGUUAAGACAAUAAUCGGGUCAAGACCCAAUCCAACCCAAAACCGAAUGGGCCAUAAUGGGUUUAUAAGACAAUAAUUGGGACGGAUUGAGUUUGACUUUGUCAGGCAAAAAUAAUCUGAUGGUGGUGUAUAGUUACACUAUAUAACUUAAAAAACAUUUACCUGGUAAAUCAUUGGGGUUAUAGUUAGUGAAGUCUUGAAGAACUGUUGCAACAUCUUGUGCUCUUUGAUUUCUUCCAUCUUCGACAUGUCUUCCAUUAACACUAUGAUUCGCCAUUGUCCUCAUAGCAUUAACAAUAAUCGAGUCAAUAUUAGGACCAGAACUACAAUUUGAUAUAAUUGGACUAUGUCUAAUCAUUGACCCAAUUCCCCUUCCUCGUACAUGUCUACCACUAAAAUUUGGAUUCACAAAUUGAUCACUUUGGUCCUUUCUUCUUCUUUCAUGGCCCAAAUCAACAUUGUUGUAUGGAAAUCUUUGUUGAUGUAAUUGAACAUGUCCACCGUUAUUGUAAGUAGCUUGAUGAUGAACAGUUCCUGGAAAUCUUGGUAUAUAACCAUUUCGAAUUUGUUCGAUUGGUCUGUUAAGAUGAUAUGGUAAAUUACCAUAUCCAAACAUAUUGUUGCCAUCACCAAUAUUAAGACCAUUACUAGUAAUUCCUUGAAUUUCUCCACCUUGUCCAUGCCAUUGCAAAUGAUUAGCAUAAUUCGGUACACUUGAGUUCAGCAUGUUAUAAUCUUGCUGAUUAUGAUUAGUAUUAUUUGCACCAUUUUCUCUUGGUACCACCAUAUUUUUAUGAUCUACUGCCAAAGGGGGCACGUGCACAUACCUAGUGGUACUCUCUGAUGUUGUUAUUGGAACCUGGGCUACAUCUGGCAAUUGAACUAUUUGAAGUUGUUUAUUCCUUUGUUCCUCCAUAAGUUGUUUUUCCAACUUCUUGUAUUCCCCUAACGGCCCGUGAACUGGAUCUUCCUGUCAUCGAGAGGUGUCAUGUGGAAGCUCAAACCUCUGAGUAAGAAGACAAACAACAAAUAUACCAAAAGACAAACAUUUACCAAUCGACCUAGUUAGUACAAGAUAGAGAGAAAAACCUCACACAAUAUACUCGAUCGGAAUACAACGAAACAUAAUACUUCUGUCUCACAAAUUCUCCAUCUAAACAAAAUUCUCUAGCUUACUAUAAAGAGUUGUUAACAUAAUACUUAUGUCAACAAAAUUCUCUAGCAUACUAUAUUCUGAAUGCUACUAAAUUAAAAGAAAUGAAUAGUUUCCUAGGUUAUAACUUAUAAACCUUUUCCUAACAUAAAAAGGUUUUCUAGCGGGAGACAUUCUUUUAUUCUCUGUGGCUCUAUCGGCUGCACCUCUGAUAUUUAAAUCCACUAGAGCUGGAUAUACAGAUAUGGUAAAAACCCACUAAAGUUUCAACAAAUACUAAAUUUCCAACUCAAAACAAGAACUUCAAAAUUGAAUUCAUCAUCAAGUUUAAAUUUUAACCAGACCUCUAAAUUGAGUAAUUGUAUGAACAAUAAUAUAUAUUCAAAUUGAUAAACUACUUUAAAUCAUGAGUGAGCAUGUAGUACCUGCCACAACUUUGCUUCCCACAAGAAAGACUUGAUGGAUUCAUCCUGUUGAGCAACAUCAUCAAAGCUCUUAAUCUUCUUUGUAACAUUAGAUAUACCAAAAACCUUGUGAACUCCAAGAAAUUCAUCCAUCUUGCUAGCUGGAAAGUGGCGCCACAUAACGCAGUCCCCUACAAUACACUUCUUUCUUUGAUGCUUGCACGAAGCACAUGCCGGACGAUUGCUACCUACUUCGUGCAAUUCUUCUUCUGCACUAUUACUAUUACUAUUACUAUUAUUAUUAUUAUCAUCGUCGUUGUUAUUCGGCAUUGGUGAUGAUGAUGAUCUAUCAACAAAACAACAGAGUAGUAGAAUAUUCUUGUAUAAAAGCUCUGGGAAAAACAACAUUAUUGAUGGUGCAUAGUAAGUUAAUUAUGGAUGAAGUAUGAACAAGUUUGAUUCCUUUAUGGGAAGAGCAAAACACGGAGGCGAAAGAGUACAAUUAGGGUUCUAAUACAGGUAAUAUAUUUAUUUAUUUUUACAAAGCAAAAAAAAAGAGCUACUAUAGUUUAACAACAAAUAUAUAUUAAAAAGAAUUAUGUAUUUAUUGUUUUUAUUAAUUGAAAUUUUCUUAAUAAUUUGUUGUCCAUUUUUUAUCAAUUAUUAGUAGAGCUGUCAAAAGGGGCUUAGCCCAUGGGGCCGGCCCAACCCAACCCGUUAUUGGGAUAGGGUUGAAAUAUGAUUUUUCAAGCUCAUUUAUAACUAGGGCUUAUAAGCCCGACCCAUAUAAGUCAUUAGCCCUUGAGGCUUGAUUGGGGCCAGGUCGGGGUCAGCCUAUGGGCCAAAACUUUUUAUUUAUGGGUUAACUUAUAAUAAUCUCACUAGUAUAUAAUCUAAUUACCUAAAUACACACUAUGUUGUAAUAUUAUUAGUUUAAUUUUACCGAAUUUUGGUACGUCCAGAUACAUGUACAUCUCGAAAUAUAUUGACUUAAAAUUAGGUUAAUAUGUUCUAGAUUCACUCUAUCCAAGUAGAUUUCCAUGUAUCGAGGAUACAUAGACAAAUCUCGCGUCCUCGCCUCCCUCCCAUCUUGUUUGUCACUUUUUAUCUCGUUCGUGUAUUUGAUAUGCAAGAUAUAUGCUAAUUACACUAGAUUUUUUGCUUGUGUUAUUGAAACAACACCAUUUUUUGGCAUAUUUGAUUUGAAAUUCUUCUCAUUUUCUCAAUGUUAUAGAACUAUAAGUUUGAAAAGAAAAAAAUGAAAAAAGAAAAAAAGAAGAGCUAGCCCGACCCAGCCCUCGGCCCUUCUAGGGUUGGGUUGGGUUGGGUUGAGUGUUUUCAGGCCCUUCCAAAUGAAGCGCCGACCCGCCCUAGCCAUUCAAAUUCCUUGGCCCGCGAAGCUUGGGCCGGGUGGGGUUGGGUUGACCCUUUUUGACAGCUCUAAUUAUUAUGCAUAUAUUUUCAAAAUUUUACUAUUUUUUAAAAAUACAAUUGAUGUAAUUAUAUUUAAAAGGUUUAAAUAAAUAAAUAAAUUUGCAAUUUACUUUCUACUUCCUAAUUUGUCUAGUUCACUUCAAUUGGAUGUCUUCUCAUAUAUUUCAAAGCUUAAAUUAAUUAGAUUAUCAAAUAAUAAACUUUGAAAAGACAUUAUCUUAACUUUGGAUGUCUUCUAAAGCGUAACAAUCACUACAAUAUUAUUGAUUUAGACCUAUUUAAUUUUGUAAUUAAAAAUUAUAUGAAAUAUUAUACAAAUAAAAAUGAUAGUUUAUUUAGCAAACUCAAUCAGGCAAAAUAUUAAUUCUAUUUUAAUAUUUCUAGAAUAAUUUUGAUAAGUUUGUGUAACAACUCAGUCAAUUCAAAAAGUUUUCAAAAUAUAAUCAAUAAGAACUUAUGUAAAAUCUAAACAAUUGUGGUGUUACAUAACGUACAAUAAUUCAUAUAUGUCUACUUAUGUCUUAUUAAAUAUUAUAAGAAAUAUUAUAUUAUCAAUUGGAAAAAAAUUAGUUAUCAAGUUAUAAUUAACGAUAAUGUAUUUUAAGAAGUUACGAGCAUCAAAUAUAUUUACAGAAAAUAAUAUUAAAUAAACGUAAAAUCUCACACUCACUAGACCAUUUUCGACAAAUAGUACAUUUGCUUCAAGUAUAUUACUGCAACAAGUUUUCACUACAACAAAUUUGCUCCUUACUGAAAACUUAAUCGAUACUGAAAUCUUACUGUCACCAAGAGAUUUGCUAACAACGUUUAAGAUUUAAGUCAUGCGUAAGUUAACAAAGCAAAUCGAAAGAUGGGAAAUUAUAACUAUACAAAAAGACACAAACAUUUAACGUGGGAGAAAUCUAAUUUUAUACAAUUUACUUUCGAAAUAUUAUACAAUUUACACACGAAAUACAAAUACAAUUUACAUGCACUCGAAAUACAAAUACAAAGAGGUUCACACAAGUGUUAAUUCAAAGAUUCUCCCCUAAACAAAAUUAAAUUAUAUUGUGUAGUCUACUAAAUUACAAAACUACAUUGGGAAUGCUACUAAGUUAAGUUAGAAGGAUUGAAUAGAGUCAUAAAUAUAUUUUUUCUUUUUUUCUUAAGGUACCUUGAUACUUAAUUUCGAAAUCAAAACAAGACCUUCAAAAUCGAAUUCAUCACCAAAUUUUUUAAUAGACUUCUAAAUUGACUAAUCAUUUUUUUGAUGAACAAUAAUAUAUAUAUAUAUAUUCAAAUUGAUAACUUUGAUUAAAGCUCGUUAAAUUUUAAUCAUGAAUCUGUCUCUACUACCUGUCUGACUGUCUCUACUUUGCUUCCCACAGGAAGGACUUAAUGGAUUCAUCCUAUUGAGCAACAUCAUCAAAGCUCUACACUUCUUUUCUUUAAGGGGGUGUUAAUGGUUGGACUUAUCCUGUUGAGCAACAUCAUCAAAGCUUUAUACUUCUGUUCUUUAAGGGGUGUUAAUGAUUGUAGUAAAAAAAUAUAAAAAUUACCCAAUAUAUAAUUAUGAACUUAAUGGAUUCAUCCUAUUGAGCAACAUCAUCAAAGCUUUAUACUUCUGUUCUUUAAGGGGUGUUAAUGAUUGUAGUAAAAAAAUAUAAAAAUUACCCAAUAUAUAAUUAUGAACUUAAUGGAUUCAUCCUAUUGAGCAACAUCAUCAAAGCUCUACCCUAGUAGAGCUAGAACACAUGAGUUAUGACCUCAAGGAAUUUUCACAACCUAAUCAUUAUAUUAAACUUUUAACGUGUUAAAAGAUGUCAAUACUUGUAUAUAUAUUUAUUAAACCAAAAAUUGACCUCAAUAUACAUUGUAAUAUAUACAAUGUGAUUUUUUGAUAAAGGUUGUCGCUCCUUAGGUAUGAAUAGUAAUUAGGUAAACUAUAAUAAUAUUCAUAAUUAUAAUACUAAGUAUAAUUGAUUUUCAAAAAUUAAAAUUACCCCAAGAUAGAAACAUUUGUGUGAAUGACCCAAAUAUCAUUGCAUUCAUAGCCUAAAGACUUUUAAAGCAUAUCAUUGCAUUCAUAGCCUAAAGACUUUUGAAGCCCAGUCCAAUGCAGGACCAGCCUUUCAAGGAUCUGCCUAACCUAAGAUGUUGACCGGCCCAAAUUAAAUUAGGAGAAAUGGCUCUUAACUAAAACUUUAUGGGGCCUAACUUUAUUCAGAAAACACUAUUAAUCAUCUUUUCCAAAAAAAUAAAAUAAUACUUUUUAAAUCUUUAUAAUUUCAAUUUAUUUUCUAUGUUAUAUACUCAAAUUAAGAAUCUUUUUUUUUCCAAAUAAUUCAACCACAAACUAAUCGGCGUUUAACCUUUAAAAUUCUGUUAAUAUUUUUUUACAUAGAAUAUAAAGAGAAAAGGACGGAAUGUAAUUGGAGAGUAUUAGAAAUUUACUAGUAAAUGUAGUUUCUCCUAUGUGAUGGCAACAACCAAUAUAUUUUCUUCUCAUUGUCACAGUGGAAAUCAAAUAAAAUGUUGAAUUAGAAUAGACUCUUUACCUUACACUUUUUGGGAUGCAUUAUUUCUUCAAAUUCUGUUUAUACAAUAUGCUUUGUGUACUUAUUAUUUAUUUUUUGUAAGUCUGUGGAGCUGGACAUCACCGAAAUUGCCUCUACAAUAAUGAAUAUCUAGCGAAUGAACGAUAUGAAUUUUGGGAAGAGUUUAACCUUUACAAUAUAAUUUUUAAAAUUUUAUUUUAUUAUAUAUAUAUGUGUGUGUAAAAGAUAACUAUAAAUAAUUAUAAAGAAAAAUAGAAUUGAUAAUGUUAAAAAUAACCUACUACAAUGAUAUGUUAAAAUACUUUAAUGACAUAAAAAUUCUUAAAUCAUGUCAAUAUAUAUAAAUUAAAUUCUUUUAAGAAAAGGUGACGAAUGUGAUUGUAGAUUUACGAGACUCAAUAGCUUUUAUUCAUGCUUAUAUAUAUGUAUAUUAAAAUAUUCAUUGAAUACUUACCCUAAUUGAUUUGUCUUUGUCAAAAGAUUUGUAGGUAUGCUCUUUCCAGACAUUGAAAAUAGAAUUUAGAAUAUUGGAUAGAAAUGAACAUGUCAAUGUCUAUUGAAGGCUAGUUCCUCCUUUUGACUUAUUAUUCUAUGACUUGAAAGCCUAGAUUUCAUAAGUGCUAACAAAUAUGAGACCCUUUGGAUGGGUAGUACUAUAGCAUUCUGGGCUAAUGACAUUCUUUGAUUGUGGUUUCUGUUUACAAACCAGCAUAUGUCACGCAUGUAAAUUGUAAUCAAAUCCAAGAAUUUGAAAUUUAUUAGUCCUUUGGUAAUUUUAAAUAAUAUAUAAUAAUUACUGAGUUUAUAAUUCAUUUUUUUACUAAUAGUUAGUAAAUUUAUCAUCAAUACAUCUAUUGAAAUUUAAACAAAAACAAUUGAAUUUAUGUGAGCACGUAUAUUACGUGCUAGCUCCGACUUUGAUAUCGCAAUAUAAUCAUGUGCUAGUAUAUACUUCCUUUGUUUCUUUUUAGUUAUCAUUUGUAUUAAAAAUAUUUGUUUCAAAAUAGUUGUCAAUUUAUACAUCAAGAGAAAAUUAAUUAUUUUUUUCCAACUUGGCCCGUCACAUUAAUUAUUCUAGAAUUAAGAGGCAUAUAUAAACAAAUAAAGAUUAAAAAACUAAUAAGGGAUAUAUUGAUCAAAUAACACUCUUUAUUAAAAAAACUUCUGAAGAAUUAUGCUAAAUAUUAUCAUGACAACUAAAGUGGAACGGAUGAAAUAUAUAAGUAUCUCGAGUGAUAAGGUGAAAAGGCAAAUAUUCUAGGUAUGGUACAUUCAGAAAGACUACAUUUUUUCAACUAAGCAACAACUCCUCCUAAAUUCCUUUUGAAUUCACUUAAUUUGAAAAACAACCAAUCACUUGUCUCAUUUGAAUCUCAUUUCAAGCACCAUAACUAUAUUCCUAAUUGUACAUUUUUUUAGCCCAAAGUCUUUGGUGGUAAUGAUGAUUAUAAUUAGAGUUUCAUGCAACAAAAAGAACAAGGCACUGUUAAGUGUUAUCAUGACGUACGUAAGAGAGGAGGGAUAAUUAUAUUUCUGCAGAAUAAUAUAAAUAUAAAAUCACUUCAUUUUCUGAUCUGUCAAUCAUAUAUAUAGGUGCUAUCAAAUAAAACAAAAAGGGAAACCGAUAGCAUUACUGUUCUCAAUCCUUUCCACGUCACCNNNNNNNNNNNNNNNNNNNNNNNNNNNNNNNNNNNNNNNNNNNNNNNNNNNNNNNNNNNNNNNNNNNNNNNNNNNNNNNNNNNNNNNNNNNNNNNNNNNNNNNNNNNNNNNNNNNNNNNNNNNNNNNNNNNNNNNNNNNNNNNNNNNNNNNNNNNNNNNNNNNNNNNNNNNNNNNNNNNNNNNNNNNNNNNNNNNNNNNNNNNNNNNNNNNNNNNNNNNNNNNNNNNNNNNNNNNNNNNNNNNNNNNNNNNNNNNNNNNNNNNNNNNNNNNNNNNNNNNNNNNNNNNNNNNNNNNNNNNNNNNNNNNNNNNNNNNNNNNNNNNNNNNNNNNNNNNNNNNNNNNNNNNNNNNNNNNNNNNNNNNNNNNNNNNNNNNNNNNNNNNNNNNNNNNNNNNNNNGUUUUUUCCCCCCCCCCCCCCCCCCCCCCCCCCCGCAAAAAAAAAUAUCGAUACCAUUGUAUGCAAUAGAGGAAGAUUUUUCCUUUUUUUCCAAACGAAAAGACUAAUUAGUAGGCGUUUGAACAUUAAAAAUGUGAUAAUGAAAAAAGUUUGAGAAAAGAUAUUUGAAAAUUAAAAUUUUAAUUUGCAAGAAAUAUAAAUUUUGUGAAUGAAAAAAAAAUCAUGUCUAAACAGACACAAAAGCCUUUUUAAUAUCGAGAAGGGAAAUAAUCGAGCUCGGAACAUGGACUAAUGUCGAUCACAUAAUUAAGUCUAACUUUAGAACUAGUGCACUUUCCGUUAUAAAAAAAUUCAUUAUAAAACUUUGAAAUAGCUUUAAAUUUUUUGAAUUUUUUGAAAAAGGAACAUGAUUUUGUGUGAAUAGUCCCAGGACAUAACCAAAGGAUUAUUGACAAAAUUUAUUCGAAACUCAAUGUAUAUAUCAGUUUUUUUAGGGGUCUGUUUGGUAGGAAGUAUUAGGAGAAAUAGUUCAUGUAUUAUGUAUGGUAUUAUAUAGUACUAUGUUUGGUAAGAAUUUGGGCCUAUGUAUAACUAAUCCAUGCAUUAGUUAUACACCCUACAUGAUAUUAGAGGAUGUAUUACUAAUACCUUCCAUUUGGAGGUAUUAGUAAUACAUAUGAUUUAAUAUCAUGGGAUAAGUCUAUGUAAAGAUAAAAAUAUCCCUCAAAUUAAUCAUUUUAAUCAUUUUGUUUAUUUUCUUGAUUUUAUGUUUUAUAUUUGUAUUAGUAAAUUAAUUUAAAUAAAUUAGCAUAUAAAUUAUUAGAGAGAGUUGUUUGUUACUAAAUAAAUUCAAUACAAUUUUUGAAAUGUGAAUUUAACAUUUACUAAUUAAAAAGGUAAAUAUAUCACCACAUGAUGUUUCUUAAUUGAAUGUAUAAUAUAUAUGUGUGUGUGUGGUUUUCUAAUUAUUUGUAUUUUGAACAAUUUAUAAAAUUGCAUACAUAUUAAAACUAUAACUUACAAUUUUUAUGUGUAAAUGUAGAUGGUUUACUCAAUUUUACUAAGUAUUGUUUACCGUCUUAUCGAUUUUAAAAGUAGAUGAUUUAUCUUUUUUUAAAUUGAAAAAUGUCAUUUUGUGAGUGCUAAAUUUAUUAAAAUGACAAUUAUUUAUCCUCAAAUAAUUCAAGUGAAAAAAUAGCAAUCAUGACAACAAAAUUGUUCUUCACCUAGCUAGUUAGAAGGUCAUAAAAAAAUAACAUUGUCCGGCAAUUAUCUACCUUGACCCAAUUACAUAAUAAUAUAAGGAUAUAAUUGGAAAGAAACUUUUUAUAGAGUUUUAAUCCAAACACAAGAUGAAGUAGGAAACAAUGAACCAAACACUUGAUAAAAAUAAAUCUUGCAUUACUAAUCUCUGCAUUACUAAUUCCUGCGUUAUUAAUCUUUGUACCAAACGACCCCUUAAUGAAUAAGCAAAACAUGUAUAACUAACAUUUUUUAUUAAAUUAUGCAUAAAUUUAUCUUAAUUUUUUACUUAACCAUCACAAAUAAUAUAAUUUGAUGUAAAUGUUUACUUAGGGGAACAAAAUUUUAUAGAGAAGUAUUGAAAAUAUCAUUAAACUAUUAACCGUGUUAAAAAUAUUUUUUUAUUUGAUUAGUUUAACUUAGAUACAUCCUUAAUCUGCCACAUGACAUAGCUAGUUGUAUUAAACUUUUGUAGAAGCAUGAGACUCUUGAUAAAAAGUCGAGAGAAAUUUAGUGAAAAUUUAGGAGUGCAUUUCACUCAUGUGGUAAGAAUCGGGGUGUAGUUAAGUUUAACUAGUCAAAUAAAAAAAUAUUUUUAACACUAUCAAUAAUUUAAAGAUAAUAUUAAUAAUUCACGCAAAGUAUAGGUUGUAUAUAAUACUUCUCUCAAAAUUUUACGAUAAUUCAGAAACAAACUAUUAUUAUCUGAGAAUAAUGGGAUUCUUGUUUAGAAUGACAACACACUGUCUGCUAAGAACAGUGUUACCUUAGCUACUGCCUAAAUAGACACGACUAAACCUUGUUUUUCUAAAGCUUCCUUUUUCCCUACCACUUUACGCCUCCUUCCUUCCCCCCCCCCCACCCCNNNNNNNNNNNNNNNNNNNNNNNNNNNNNNNNNNNNNNNNNNNNNNNNNNNNNNNNNNNNNNNNNNNNNNNNNNNNNNNNNNNNNNNNNNNNNNNNNNNNNNNNNNNNNNNNNNNNNNNNNNNNNNNNNNNNNNNNNNNNNNNNNNNNNNNNNNNNNNNNNNNNNNNNNNNNNNNNNNNNNNNNNNNNNNNNNNNNNNNNNNNNNNNNNNNNNNNNNNNNNNNNNNNNNNNNNNNNNNNNNNNNNNNNNNNNNNNNNNNNNNNNNNNNNNNNNNNNNNNNNNNNNNNNNNNNNNNNNNNNNNNNNNNNNNNNNNNNNNNNNNNNNNNNNNNNNNNNNNNNNNNNNNNNNNNNNNNNNNNNNNNNNNNNNNNNNNNNNNNNNNNNNNNNNNNNNNNNNNNNNNNNNNNNNNNNNNNNNNNNNNNNNNNNNNNNNNNNNNNNNNNNNNNNNNNNNNNNNNNNNNNNNNNNNNNNNNNNNNNNNNNNNNNNNNNNNNNNNNNNNNNNNNNNNNNNNNNNNNNNNNNNNNNNNNNNNNNNNNNNNNNNNNNNNNNNNNNNNNNNNNNNNNNNNNNNNNNNNNNNNNNNNNNNNNNNNNNNNNNNNNNNNNNNNNNNNNNNNNNNNNNNNNNNNNNNNNNNNNNNNNNNNNNNNNNNNNNNNNNNNNNNNNNNNNNNNNNNNNNNNNNNNNNNNNNNNNNNNNNNNNNNNNNNNNNNNNNNNNNNNNNNNNNNNNNNNNNNNNNNNNNNNNNNNNNNNNNNNNNNNNNNNNNNNNNNNNNNNNNNNNNNNNNNNNNNNNNNNNNNNNNNNNNNNNNNNNNNNNNNNNNNNNNNNNNNNNNNNNNNNNNNNNNNNNNNNNNNNNNNNNNNNNNNNNNNNNNNNNNNNNNNNNNNNNNNNNNNNNNNNNNNNNNNNNNNNNNNNNNNNNNNNNNNNNNNNNNNNNNNNNNNNNNNNNNNNNNNNNNNNNNNNNNNNNNNNNNNNNNNNNNNNNNNNNNNNNNNNNNNNNNNNNNNNNNNNNNNNNNNNNNNNNNNNNNNNNNNNNNNNNNNNNNNNNNNNNNNNNNNNNNNNNNNNNNNNNNNNNNNNNNNNNNNNNNNNNNNNNNNNNNNNNNNNNNNNNNNNNNNNNNNNNNNNNNNNNNNNNNNNNNNNNNNNNNNNNNNNNNNNNNNNNNNNNNNNNNNNNNNNNNNNNNNNNNNNNNNNNNNNNNNNNNNNNNNNNNNNNNNNNNNNNNNNNNNNNNNNNNNNNNNNNNNNNNNNNNNNNNNNNNNNNNNNNNNNNNNNNNNNNNNNNNNNNNNNNNNNNNNNNNNNNNNNNNNNNNNNNNNNNNNNNNNNNNNNNNNNNNNNNNNNNNNNNNNNNNNNNNNNUGACAAAAAUAUUAAGUAUAUAUUGAGUUAACAUUUUUUUCUGUUCAUCAUAUAAUAAUUCAAUUUCAUAUAUAUAUAUAUAAUAGUUUUUUCCUUUAUACAUAUAUAAAGCAUUCUUUUCAUUCCAAUUUAUAUGAUAUCCUUUUAUUUUUAGUCUAUCCAAAACCUCAGUAUAAUCUCAUAAUUAAAGUCUGAUCAAAAGUAGAAAAAAAUGUUUCGAUUGAACCUUAGCAACUCUCAUUUUUUAUCCGAACUUAGAACCGACAAUGAUGUUUUAUGCAUACGUACUAGUUGAAACAAAAACAUAUAUACAGACACAAAUUUAAUUUAUAGAGUAAAAUCAAUAGUGAACUAAUUAAGAAUUAGAAGGGCUAUCCACAGAAUUCUUUUUCGUUGAAACCAGAGAUGACUGUCUAAAAACAUGAAACUACAUUUCAAGCCAUCAACUUCAGCCAACAUUACAUAUGAAAGGCUAAGAAAAGAGAAAUCCCAAAAAGAAUACUAAUAAUAUUUUUUUAUACUAUAUAGUUUAAUCUAAGCUAAUUGCCUACUAUAAACAAUAUAAUUACCAAUUGUUACCAUUUAUAAUUGACCUGAUAAAUAGAAGAAUUUAUUUCACAUUACAUUGUACAUACAUAAAAAAUAGUACUUCAAGUUAUAUACCUCGUUAGUGUAUUAGUAACUUUCUUAUCUAGCUGGUCGCAUUAAAUUUUUUACUUAUAGAUAAUCCUUCUUAAAAUGUGCGAUUUACAUUUUUAAAAAUUACAUGAGUUAGUCUAUUACGGUGAUGAUAAUGUGUAUAAAAUGAAAAUAAAGGCACUUACAACCACCAUGCUUUGCUUUCCUUGCAGAAUAAGCAAACAAGUAAACAUGAAAGCUGCCAGAAAAUAUGUUAAUGAUGAUAUCACAGUUAUUGGAUUUUUUCUUGACCUUCAUAGACACAUAUAUAUCAUCACAUGUUGUCAUCCAUGUAAAAAUAAAUAAAAAUGCAACUGAAGUCAUCCAUAUAAGGUUAACCAUUUUACUAAUUAAUCAACUUAAUUAUAUCAUCUAAAUAAAGAAAUUAAACCUCAAAAAGGCGCAUUUAUAUUAUAAUAAUAUGUUAAGUUUCAUUUCAUCAUAAAAAAUGAAACAUAGUACACAUUAACACAUAGACUAGACUUAAUUAAUAAGAUUUCUGUAGUAACUAAAAUGUCCCUUCAAAUAACAUACUAAUUAAACACUACUCCAAAUUAAACUAAUUAAAACCCCUCCUUGUUUUCUUCAAGAGACAAUGAAACAAAACACAACAGCAAAUAGUCAGCUAUCCAUCUCUUCUUCAACAUCAACAAAUCUGCAAUCAGAUAUGAAAUUUUAUAAAAAAAAAUGAAUUUCCAAGAAAAGUUUUAUAAAUUAAAAAAUGUUAAAAAUUAAUAAUUUGAAUUCGUACCGAAUCAAUUAUGUCUUCGUUAUACAUGAUGAGUCGAUGCAAUACUUGAUGUGCGAAGCAAGUAGUAAAAUGCACCAUGCUGGAGUGGCUGAAUUGUGAUACCCCAUUCAUUAGUAAUAAGUGGUUCACCAGAUGAAUGAAUAAGCACCGCAUCUUCACCGAACACUUCCCUCACGUUAAACGGUCCUAUCCCAACCUCAAAAGCAACGUCGUUGAUAAACACGGUCGAUCUUGUGGGACCUGCAUCAUUAGGGUCCACAGCAACCCCUACAACCACACGUACGUUACACAAUCAUGAGAUAAAUGGAACCAAUGCAGCAGUCAAAUUUAUAUAUAUAUAUAACUCCACAAGAUCCAUCCAUGCGAACGUUUAAUCCAAAAAAAAAAAUUAGACAAGAAAUCAGAAAAUGAGGGAGCCAAAGGACAAAUCUAACCUUGUCUUAUCUAUAAAACAUAACGUAUGAGAAAAUGUAAAAUGUAGUAGUACUACUUUUUUGGCCUUGUUAAAAAACACAGUGUAAAAAGUGAACAGGCCUAGCUUAGCAUCAAUCACUUCCAUGAAAUGCCAGUAGAAGAUUUUACUUAUUAUGCUUAAAUUUCGUAUGAAUAGAGACAAACAUUUAUUCUCAUUCUCAGUUCUGGCCCUAAAAUAAAAUAAAAUGAGUGGCUUUCAACUUUCUAGACUAUAUAUAUCUUCACUUUUGUCAUGAAGUUAAAUGGAAAAAAAUGUUAAAGUGCACAUUCAUACUAGAUAUGGUAUCAUUUGUACUGAGUAGCCAGCCCACCACAUACUCAACAUAAUAAAUAAAAAAUAAAAAGUAAAGAAUAUAACACUUCAGUUACUCAAUACUCCUCCCCUACUCUACUCACUAGACAUAUAUACAAAAGAAAAAAGAAAAAAACGUCACUUUUUUUAGUGUUUCAAUUUAUAUGACAGUAUUUGACUGAACACAGAUUUAAACGGAGAAAAAAAAAACUAUUAUCAUAUAUCAAAAUAACUUGUGAUCUUUGGAAGCGGAAAAAAAGAAUGUAACGGACGGAGUAAAAGGCUUACCUUGAAUGUGACCAAUGGUUGGAAUAGUGGUAGAAGCAAGAGGAGAAGCAGUUGAAGUAACAGUAUAACUCAUGAGCUGUGACUGCAAAUUCAUUUUCUCAUUUUCAGCUUUCUUUGAAUUAUUACUAGGUGUUUGACUUAUCCCCAUCCAUUCAUUAAGAAAAAGUCCAGAAGACGAAGAAGAAGAAUGAGGAGAAAAAGUAGUUGAAUCCGGGAAGCAAAAUCCUUGUGACAUGGUGGAAUGAUCAUGAGUUGGUACUACUGGUGGUGGUUGAACGGUGAAAAAGAAAGGCUGCUCAUUAGACAAGAACUCGUUAUAGUUCUGUUGGUUCACUGAAGAAGUAGGAGAAUUCAGCAAGUCCAUCACAUUCGAUGUACCAAUUGAGAAAGUCAAUGAAUUUGGUGAAGAUUUAUCAGAAGAGGAUGAAGAUGAAGUAAUAAUAGGUUGAUGAGAUGAAUUAUUCUGGUGUUGGUGUUGUUGAGCUUUAGCUUGUAAAUGACGCUGUUUGUGUUUACUUCUUGAUUUCCUGUUUUGAAACCAGUAAAACACAUUAGCAUCACCAACUUGUCCAUAUUCUUGAAGCUUAGCUCGGAUUUUCCUUAUCUCAUCCCUUGGUGGAUUCACCAUGCCUGAAUUAAAAAUUGCUUCCAGUAUCCGAAUUUGCUCCGGUCUUGGAUUCCAUCUAGGCUUUGGCUCUGGACUUCGCUCUUCUAAUCAUAAUUAAGAAAAAAAAUAAAAAUGAAUCAACCUCAUGAUUACAAAAGAAAAUGUAAAACAUAUAUUUAUAUACCUGGAUUGCAUGGAGGUCUUUGUUGAAUGAUAGAAGAGUUCAUGUCAUGUUGCCAUUGGUGAUGAUGAGAAUUGCAAGGUUUGGAUUUAAACAUACUAGGCCAGUGUCUAUUUGAUGAAGCCAUAUUUGAUGAUGAUGAAGAACAAAUAAGAAGAAGAAAAAAAAAAGGCAACUCUCUUUAGCUUUGCUUUUUUUUUUUGGUAGUCUAUAAACAACCCUAACACACUUCUUAUAUAGACUCCAUACCUACUACUUUCUUUUUUUUUUGUUUUAGAUUAAAAAGAAAGCAAAUUGUAGAAAUAAAAAAGACAAAACCCAAAACAAGAAUCACCUGUUAAAUGAUAAACAAAAAUAGAAAUGAAAUUAAAUGUAAAGUGAAAAAGAUAGACUAGAGAUCUAGUACAUGGCCCAUACCCUUAUAAUUAUAACUUGUUCACAAAAUUAUUAUUUUUCAGACUGAAAAUACUUGUUCACUACUCAAUGUAACAAAAAGCCCAAUUAGUUCAAUUUGAAGAGAAAACAAAGAGAACAUUGAAAGAAGCACAUGAUGGGGCUAAUAUUAGAAUCUUCAUCAGAGUGAAAGACAGUGAAAGCUCUUAAUUCAAAAUAAAAGAGAGAGAAAAAUACAAUAAAAAUUGUGAUGUUUAAUAUCUUCAGAAGUCUGAUGAAAUUGUCUCUUUGUUUUACAUAUUUUUUGAGUUUUGAUGUUUUUUUGGGGUUUGUAUAUAUGAAGAAAGGGAGUAUUAAUGGAGAGAGGUGGAAAGGUGUGGAUUAUUCUAAUAAGAUGGGGUUGUUGCAGCAGGAAUAAAUAGGGGAGAAAAGUAAGGGGGUAGGGGGGUUUGGGGUGGGUGGGGUAAAGAAAAGGUUUUGAAAGUCAAGAUAAUGUAAUUGUAGGAUUUGAAUAGAAAACGGUGGAAGAGAAGUAAUUGCUCUUUGUAGAUUUGAAUGUUUUGGCCAAAGAAAGGAAGUAUUGGAUUGACUCGAGGGUCAUUUUAUUACUACAAACACAUUUCAAGAUUUUUUGCUUAAAUGAAGGAAAAUAAAAUUUAUUUCUUUUUUCCCUUCCAUUUUCUUUUCAAAUAUAUUUUCUAGGACCUUACCGUUCAGUCAAACUAAUUUAUCAAUAUAAUACAAUUAUAUAUUGAUUAUGUAUACUAUAUGUAUAUUAAAAAUUUACACAUUUGCUAGUAUUUUAUAAACUAGAUCAUUCAAAUUUUUAUUCAUCGUGUUAAUUUUUUUAAGGGAGGUUCCUAUGAUUUUUAGGAGUAUUUAGUAAGAAAUAUAGAGAACUUUUAUUAUUUUUUAUUUGUAUAGGUGUUAGUGUUAGUGUUGUAACUUUGUUAGAAAAUAAAACAAAGUGAUGAAUUUUUUUAUAAAAAAAACUCUCGCUGAGGUAAGAAUACUUUUAAGUUUUAAGCUAUAUUUUCAUCACUUCAAUUCUCCAAAAAAAUUGCUAGUAGUUGUUAGUUUGAGACAGUAGUCAAAGCAUUAUUUUCCUUUUUCAAUUGAGGCAAAUUAAUUUAAUUAAGUGGAAAAUAGUAGUUAUUAUUAUUUUCCAUAAUCAGUUGUGGUAAAUAUUUUAAUGUUUUCAUUAUUGUCUCGUUAUGCAGAUAGUACCAAGAGAGGCUUAAAUGGAAGUCCUUUCACAUUGUAUUUUACUAAAGGAGAAUUUUCACUAGUAUAUAUGUAUUCACACUAGUUCAAUUUGGCAUCUAUACUAGCUAUAUUUUAAACUCAUCAUAAAUAAUUGACUGCAUAUAAGAUAUUUUCCAAGUAGCACUAUCCUGCCGUUACUAUUAGCAGGAGUUACAUAAAGUUAUUGUCACGUUAUUACAAAGUCAUCUGUUUAAAUUAUUGAUAUAACCUUUUAUGGAAAUAUAAAAUAACAUUUUGUAUAGUAAAUUUUUAUAGUUCGACCUUAUUUUUAACAUCAUAUAUAGUAGAAGUUUAGUGUGAAUGAUUCACUUUAAAUAUUUAUAUCUAAAAUUAUGCUAUGGUCCUUUAAAAAGAAGCCUAACAUGUUGACAUUGGGUGAUAGAGUUGGUGCCUAGAGAUUGUACAACUAUGGUAGGCUUGGUCAAAUAACACAAACAUUUUAAAAUUGGGAGAUAGAGUUGACAAGAAUAUAAUGUGAAAAUCAAGAAGAACAUAUGAUAUACGAGAAGUUGGGAUAGACAUUAAAAAAAACGGUGGUAACGUCCAAUUUAGAUUCUAUCUUUUUCAAAACGCAAGAACAAAAUAAAAUUUUAAAUUUAUAAAUUCUCAUUUUUUAACCCAUAAAAUAUUUGAUCAGGGUUAUUAAUUCAGUCAAAGUCAUAAUUAAAAGUGCUAGCACAGUUUCUAGUUUCUACCACACACAAUGUGUAGUUUCUUAUACUAUCGAUUUAAUCACAAGAAUAUUUAUUUAUUUCUACAAUAUUUGACUUAAUUAACAGUUUAAUACUUUUUAUGUCUUAUUUUAACUGUCUAUUAGCUAAAAAAAUUAUCCCAAAAUAAUUAAAGUUUCAUCUACAUAGUAUUUGAGAAGAAGGAUGAUCAAUAUGUAUACCAUUAUCAGAUACAUAAAAAUACUUAAUAAAUUAUAUUUUAUAUUUAUUAUUUUCUUAAAGAACUUAAAAAUUAAAUAUGAAAACGAUAGUUAAAUAUGGGAUGAAACGAGUAAUUUGAAAGAAGAAAAAGAUUUUUUUGAGGAGGGUGAUUAAGCAAGAGAGUAAUUAUUAAUGGACUUAAUUUAGUCCAUGUUGUGUUCCUAUUAUCCCGACAUACCAAGCUCUAACUCCAACUCCAACUCCCUUGUGUCCCCAUUCCACAUCCCUCUUUAAUUCCACUUUCCCCCAAUUAUACCUUUAUUCAUUUCAUUUCUUAGUCUUCUAUUUCAAAUUAUGUGUCGUAUUUUUUAAAAAGGUUAUCUUAAAUUACUUAUUAGUUAGGUAAGAAGUUUUCAUUUUACCUUUUUUGAACAUUUUUAUCAGAAUUUGGCAAGAAUGGUGAACAUUUUUACCCUUUUAAUUUUAAUACAUUUUAAUUAAAAAAUGGAAAAAAGAUCAGUUUAUUUAUAAAAAAAAAAAGGAUAUUAUAGACUUUUUAAAUUUUUAGCCAAAUUCUGACCAAAUUUUCUGGUCAUUUAGCAUUACCCUUAAUUUUAUUUGAUUCAUAUUAACUUGAAAACUUUAAUAAAGUAUUUACACGCACAACAUGUGAGUUUAAUUUAAAACUAUUUCGAGCAAUUGCUUAACUUUAAUUCCACUUAUUAUGAACAAUAUUAAGUACUUAUCAGUAGUGUUAAUAAUUUUACUUGAUUUGAUAGUUGUAAACAAUCUUGAAAUGGUUGGUUAUAUAAAAAAAAAAUUAAAUUUAAGGGCUUGUUGAAUUGACUCUUGAUCAGUCUUGUUGAGAUUUCCUACAAGAAGUGGGUAGUAUUAUCACAAUUUUCAAGUGGAACUCAAAAAGUAAAUAUCAACUGUUCACACAUGUAAAAUUGAAUAUUUGAUUUUGACCAAUGACCACAUAAUAUACCUGAUUCAUCAGUUACAAACACUACUGCUUAGGUAAACAUGACAAAAUUUCAAAGGAUAAAUGAUGGAGUCAAUCUCACUUCACUUUUAAGUAUCUCUGAUAAAACAGAUACAAAGAAUGAAAAGAGAAAUAAAGCACAAUCCCAUCACAACUCAGAAAGCCCAUAACCAAUACUAGAUAUGGUAGUUGUUGUUUAGUAGCCACUGCAUUUACAGACACCUUAUGCCUUUUUUUUUUCCUUUUCAUAAUCGUACUGUACUCAUCUCGACUAAUUUUAUGAAAGAUGUAAUUAAUGAAAUGAUAAGUUUACUAUAUCAUUAUUUGAAUAUAAUAAAUUUAGCACCAAAAGAUGUGAUGCAGUGGAUGUGGUUGCCCCUCCUUUAAUCAAAGGUUACCAGUUCGAGCCUUGGGUAUUGGAAAAAAUCUUGGUAGAAAGCGUUUUCUUUUAAAUGGAGCACUACGUGUGUCCAUAAAUUUAAUAUAUUGGAAAAAUGGAUCUAAAAAAUAACUAUAGUUAAUAAUAAGUGUAAAUUAAAAAGAAAGUGAUAAAUUAUAUUGAUUUUUCAAACCUGAUAUCUAUUUUUAAAAUAUUGGACAAGUAAAAAUGGACGGUGGAAGUAAUUCCUACCAACUAACUUUGAUAGAUAAAAAUAAUUACUUUAGUUUUUUUUGCUCUAACAUGAAACUUUAUAAUUCUUAAUUACUUUAUUGACUAGUACACAACAUUAUUAUUCUGAUUUUCAAAUUAUUAUAUUGCGCUAUCAAUGCACAAAUUAUGAUAUAUAUACAGUCUUAUUCUUACCUUAAAAAGAUACAAAAAAUGAUAAAAUAAACCCCCAACUUAAAAAUAAACCAAACUUAAGUUCUAACUUUUUUUUUCUCAUUGUCACAAGCUAGUCUUGUUUUCUUUGCUGACCAAACGUGUGCUCCCACUGUUAGUUCAAUUUUCAGUAAACGUGGGAUUUUCUGAUACAUAGUACGUGAAGAAGUAAAUACUUUGAUAGCUAAUUUAAGUGAUAGCAGUAGAUUCAAUCUUUUUCCCAAGAAUUUAUUAUCUACUUUUGAGUUUUACCUCAUCUCUUUGCCUUUACCUUUUUCUGCUCACCCAUUUUGUCUUCAUCAAAUUUGUCUAAACGAUUAAAUUCACUAUACUUUUGCUACUUGUUGGUCCCUACACAAUUCUAUUUAAUCCCCUCUUCCUUUUUCUUUUGCUUCUAAUUUUUUUUAUCAAUUCGUAUUUACUUGUUCCAUAUUAACUUGAUAUUAAAAAAAUUAAAAAAAAUUAUUUUACAGCUAUAUAAUACUUUAAAUAUAAAAAAUUUAAAUUUUAAGAAAUGCAUUAAAAAAUGGCUAUAGUUAAUAAUUAGAGUAAAUUCUGAAUUAAAAGUAAAAAAUUAUCUAUUGAUUUUUUUAAAUAUGACAAACAAAAAUAAUUAUUGUUUUCUGUAUAAUGUACAAGUAAAAAUAGAAUAUUUACUUCUUUUUUUCCUUGUCCUAUUCAAGAAGAAAUAUUAAAAUGAGAAUAUUAUGAAUUUUUUUUCAUCAAAGUUGCAUAACUAUAUUUUCGGAUAGAAAAAGAACAAAUUAAUUACUCUACUAACUUAAAAAUCAUAAUUACCGAAAAAUCAAACUUUUAGAUCAGUGAUAAUUUUCUUUUUUUGUUUCUUGUCUAGUGUUCAAAUCCCACAUUGGAACUUUGAUUAAAUUCGAAUCAUGUAUUGCCGGGUCCAUUUGGGGGUGACGCUCCCAACAUGAUUUUUUCUCCAUACUUAAGACUCGAAUUGAGUCCUCUAAUCAAGCGUGCAGUGAUAAUUGUUUACUCUAUUGUUAUUUUUAUUUUUAAUCUAGUAAAUACAUACCCAAAUUAAAGAAGACCGACCCAACCAAAUUAGUUAACCUUCUGAUAAGUACAGAAAAUUGCAAUUUAUUGUUACCUUCAAAUGUAUUCAAAUAACGUAUCCUACACCUCCUGUAGCAAACACACUAAUUGUUUAUUACCAGCUUCAAUUCAAUGCACUUUAUUCAAAUAAGUAAAUAUUUAUUUAUAAAAUAAAUAUCGUUAGAAUUUGAUUUAUAAAUACAUAAUUCCAUACUUGAAUAUAUACCAUUGAAACUAAUAACAAACAAUUAGCGUGUGUUGGUAAACGUCCUUAUAAGUUAUUUAUCAAAAAUAUUAAUAUGAAAGUAUUUUUUUAGCCUAAAAGAGAAAUGAACGACAAAAAUAGAAUGGAAAGACAAUUACAGUCAUGUUUCAAGAAGAAUAUCUUGGAGACUAUAGAUUAUAUUAGCCAUAAAUCAUAAAAUAAUUGGCUACGACAUAAAUACUUGGUAUAAGUUAUGAGUUGUACACCUAUAAGUUAAGUGUUAUCUAUUUUUGGAUUUUUGACUGAUUUAUUUAUUUAUUUAUUUUGUGUCUAAUAUUUAUAUUAAAAUUUGAUUAAAUUUGAAUUGACGCGAGAAAGUCCCAUAUUUGUGAGUAAAUUACUCUUUAAUAAAAACGAUUAUAUAUCUACAAGAAUAUAGAAUAUAUAAGCCAUAAAAUCAUACAAGAAUUGGCUAAGCCAAAAAUACUUACUACGUUAAGUUAUGAGUUGUACACCUAUAAGUUAAGUAUAAUCCAUUUUUUGCUUUUGACUUUUGAUUCUUGACUUUUUCUUUUAUAAUUUUUUAUUUGGUCUCUAAUAUAUUCAUAUUAGAACUCGAUUAAAUUUGAAUUAACAUGAAAAAGUCUCAUAUUUACAAGUAAAGUGUUCUUUAACAAAAACGACUUGUAUCUAGGAGAUUUCACCACCAUCCUUAUACUCUAAUUUGAUGAGGCUUAAUGAAACAAUCAGUGUGUUAUAUAGAUGAUACAACCCAUCACAUGAUUAUACUGAAUGUUCUCUUAUUUAAAUAAAAUAAGGAAAUGGGUAUGACUUAUGAGUGUGCUGCGCAAAAAGCGCCAACAGCAUUUAAUCCAUGCAAACGUGCAUGCAGUUAAUACACCCACAACAUGUUCGAUUAAAUGCUAAGACUUGCCUUGCCCCCAUUCAUUAUUUUCCUGUACAUGCAAACAAAAUUAUACAAUUCCAUUUCAACAUUUCGGCCACAAAAUUAACGAAAAUGACAUACUUCUGAGUGGUAAAUUUUUUAGAUCAUACCGAAAAGUUUUUCUAAAAUUUGAAUAGUAGAUGUUUAAUAAAAAAGUUUAUAGUCAUAUGCAGGUGUUCAAUUGAAACAAGUCUUAGUUCAAGUGUCUAAAUAAAAUUUGCGAUUCAAGUUUGAGGUAUUGUCAAUGUAUUAACCCUUUGAUUUAUAAUCAUAUAUGAUGUAUAGUCUAUCUACUAAGUUCAUAUAUCGAAGCAUUUAUAAGUUUAUUUUUAUCUUGUAGAUUGCCAAUUUUGUUUGUUUUAAAAGUUAGUGAAUAUUGUAAUUUGUACAUAACAAAAUAGUAGGGAUCUGAUUUGUUUUCAUUGAACACAACAGCAGUUGAUCGAUCGUGGCUAAUGAUCCGUGAAUUACGCCUACAUAUUGUUUUGUUUUUUACUUUGUGAAUUCGACCUCUUGGAAAUUGAGGACCCCAAAUAUAUUAUAAAUAAAAUACUCUACAAAACUACUACCUGAACUUCACUUAAAUGCUCUUAGAGCUUUUACUUCAUCACCUAGCAAUUAACCACUUAAUUCAUUUUUUUAAAUUAUUUAUUUUAAGGGGGACUGAGUUGGUGUAACAGAUGAUGUGUAGAGAAAGAAUAGCAAAUGCAAAUUUCUCCAUGUGGUUUCAAAUUUUUUUUUGUAGUCAUUACACUGUUGAUCAACUACAAGUAACUGCUCAUAACAGAAGCUUUAGUAACAUGAUUAAAAAUAAGGUAGGCAACCGUUACAAGAAGUUAAAAUACGUUAGUAGAAAAAUUGUUUACAUUAUUAACGUAUAUUUAAUUUAAUAGCUAAAAUACUCUUUAAAAUAUCAUGUCCAAUACCAACAACGGUGUCAUGGUAUUGGGAAACUUGAAAUUGUUUGAAUACCCUCUUCUGGAAUGGGUUUUUUUUUUUUUUUUAAUUUUUAACUUUGAGGUGAGGUUGAGAAGGUCCUUAAUUUUAUAAAUAUGAGUUAUGAUACAGUGGUGAGACAUCCUUAAUCAGAAAUUUCGGGUUUGAGCCUUGGUAUGAAAAGAUAAUGUUUGGAGCGCCACCACCGAAUAGACUGUGGAGCGCAAUUUAAAUUUUAUUGGGGCUCCAAUGUGACUUCCGGACAUCGGGUGGAAGAAAAAAAAGAAAAAGAGAAGGCCCUCAAUUUUAGGAAUAUGAAGAAUGUAUAUGAGAGUGCUUAAAAAUAUAAGAAUUGAGGAAGGAUUAAUAUAUUUGCAAAAAGUUUGGUUCGUUAGGUAUAGUAAUCAGGUGUUAACAUAUAUUCCGAUUGAAUUAGAAUCUUUGUAAAUGUAACAUGUUCCAAUGAAGGUCCAAAAAUCAUCAAUAGAGGUUAAUAAUAUAUACUCCUACAAACUGCCUAAAGUUUUUUUUUUUUUUUAAAUCUAAUUAAGGUGAUUGUACCGUACAUUUCCGUUAGAAGUCAAACUUUAUUAUACAUUAUGAUAUUUAAUAGAAUAAUUACGCAAAUUUUGAGAACUUUGCCACUUUCCGUACCCUACUUAAAUUUAGAUUAUUUAAUUAAUGUAUUCUUACCGUAAUUAUUUAAUUGGAAUUGAGUUAUUCGUGGUGAAAAAAUUGCAAGCUACAUCCUCACCAAAGCAAGAUAACAUAAAAUAUGUUAUUUUCAGAAAUCAAAAGUCAAAAAUACCAGACUAUUGGAUGCAUAUUGGGCUAGGUGAAACAACUUGACCACGUUGUGUUUUUUUUGUUUCUCCCUUUCACCUAGACUGAUUUAAUUUCUCGUGAUCACUUAAUUAAUUAUUAUUAUUUCAUAAAAUCAUUUUUUUCGUUGUAAGAAAUGCGAUUUUUUAGUUAAUAAUUAUUAGUCAAUUAGUGAUCAUAUGAUAAACCAACUCGUUAAAUUUGUCAUGCAAUUUGUAGUCUUUUUAAGUUAAAAUGAAAAGUUCUACCAAAAAAAAAAAAGGUCUAAGAACUCUAUAGAAAUUCUAGACACACAAUGGAAAAUCAGAGAUAUAUAUAUUUAAAGUAAUGAUGCUAGGAUUGUCUCUAAUUAUGUCAACUUAAAAAGACAGGACAUAUUGGUCUGCGUAGUUAAUUGGGAUGUUUUAUUAUUAUAAUAAUUAAUAGGGAACAGAUCUUUGGUGAUGAUUAUAUAAAUUAAUCAUUCCUUAAUAACCUACAUUCCUUCUGAAUUGGAUAAUAUUCAUUCAUUUUAAAUACAAAAACAACGUUGUAAACAUUAUGAUUAAUUCCUUGAUUUCUUAUAAUAAUAAUGUAGGAGCUUGCUGAUGUUUCGUUAAUAAUAAAUUAUUUCAUUAGGGGUUUUACUUUAGAACGAUUAGGUACUGAGUACUGACUAAUGACUACACAUAUGAAAUGAAGAGCGUAAACUUAAUGCGACAAAGAAAAAUGGGUAGAGCUGAUAUUUUUUCAUAGUUUGAUACAUGAAAAAUCUUUUUAAUAAUUAAAAAGACGAUAGAUAAAUGCUAAAAUGCAUGGUGUGCCUAGUAAUUGAAUCAUGUGACCAUUUUAUUUAUUAAAAAACAAUUAAAUUAUUAAUAUUAUAUAUAUUUAACGUCUCUGUAUUCUAUAGAUCUUGAUUAAUAGAAAAGAAGCAAAGUCAAAGUUUACAAGUAGUAUGGUUUGUCGACUAUCCCUACGACUCCCCGUGUGAUAUGUCACUCUGAUUUGAUACAGCAAAUGAGCGAGUCUAGUUAAUUAAAAAAUGAGUUAAAUAAAAAUAGAUAAGUUACUCAACUCAACUCACAUUUUAAAUGGAUAAAAACGAGUUAUCUAAUGGAUAAUAUGGGUACCCAUAUUUACCCAUAUUAUAAUAGAAAUCUUGUUAAAAGCUUUUAAAACAAAAAAAAUUAAAAGUUUUUUUAUCACUUCACUCCACCCCCUACCAGACCCCUAACCCAUCCCCAAAAAAAUAAAAAAAUUACCACACCACCCCUACGCCCUACCAGCCCCCCCCCCCUCCACACCCCAUCCAAAAAAAAAUUACAAAAUUUUAAAUUCUUUCCAAUAAUUUUUUUUUUUAAAAAAAAAUUUACCAACCCACCCCCUAUCCCCAAAAAAAUGUAAAAAUAAAGUUUCAUUUUUUUAUAGAUUUUUUUUUUAAAAAAAAAAAAACUUUCUUACUACCCCACCCUUUAUCACUUAUUUUUUGUUUGUGUGAAUGCACAUCUUUUUACCCAUUUUAUCCAUUUAACUACCUACUUUUAAAUGGAUAAUAUGGGUAUUAUUCGUUUUUACCCAUUUUUAAAUGAGUUGGAUACCCGACCCAUUUAAGAUGGGUAAAUAUGAGCGGAUACUCAUAUUAAUUAUCCAUUCUGCCACCCCUAGAUACAACUCACAAAAAAUGUCAAAAAAUAUCUCAUUAUCCCCGAGGAGCCUUUAACUUCUGGCAUGUAUCAGACCUUAAUAUAUAUUCGGAUAUCAAAUAUUUAUACCAAAUCAAUUUUUUAAUUUAUUAUAAUAUAUAGUGAAAAUAUACAUUAGUUGAUUAUAAUUAAGUGUUUCAAGUGUAUAUACAUAUAUAUAAUAUGCAUUUAUUGAUUAACAAGAAUUUCUUAAUAUUUAUGGAUUCCGGAUACAUCACUAGCCUUCCAGAUACUUAUGGGAAGGGAUGUAUUAGAGAGGGGAUAUGACAUCCGGAUAUAUAAGCGAGGAAUGUAUCAGAGAGAGGAGAGAUGUAUCAGAGAGGGGAGGGAUGUAUCCGAGAGGGAGAUAGGGAUGUAUCACCGAGAGGGGAGGGAUGUAUCAGAGAGGGGAGGGAUGUAUCCGAGAGGGAAGGAAUGUAUCCAAGAGGGAGAUAGGGAUGUAUCACUGAGAGGAGAGUGAUGUAUCCGAGAGGGUAUGCUUGAAAUAUUUUUAAAUGGUAGGAAAUUUUAGAGAUUAUGAUAAAAUAAGAUGUGUAUUUAGGUAAUUUUUCCUAAAAUGAUCUUUUAAAUAUAUAUGUAGCAAAUGUGGAAUCUCCAAUGACUUUUUUAUCGAUUUAGGAUAAAAUAAGAUGUGUAUUUAGGUAAUUUUUCCUAAAAUGAUCUUUUAAAUAUAUAUGUAGCAAAUGUGGAAUCUCCAAUGACUUUUUUAUCGAUUUAGGAUAAAAUAAGAUGUGUAUUUAGGUAAUUUUUCCUAAAAUGAUCUUUUAAAUAUAUAUGUAGCAAAUGUGGAAUCUCCAAUGACUUUUUUAUCGAUUUAGGAUAAAAUAAGAUGUGUAUUUAGGUAAUUUUUCCUAAAAUGAUCUUUUAAAUAUAUAUGUAGCAAAUGUGGAAUCUCCAAUGACUUUUUUAUCGAUUUACUUCUUCAUAUUAAACCCGAUAACUAAAAAACUCUGACUUCACCAUUACAAUGGAUCUCAAAGACAAUAAUUUUCACUAACACUCACAAUGAAAGUACUAUACAGAUUUGAGACUGAAGAUAAUUAUCAAUGCAACUAUUACAAUUAUUGCGGUUGGUCUAUGUUUCCCUUUCAACAUUUUUUAAAGUGGCAUCGGAAACUUAAACUGAAAUACACAUUUAAGGAAAGUACAAAAUCUCAUCAGUAUAUAUCACUAGUAUAAUAGUUGUUCUAGCAAGUUGAAUUUAAUUUGUUUGAAAAUAGUUGAACAUUUUAGGGAAAAAAGACGUGACUAUAUCUCCAAAUCUGCCCUUAUUCAAUCAGUGGAGGUGUUAUUUAAGUGAAAUGUUAGUGGAUAGAUAAAUGAUUAUUUUAACAAAUAUUCUAGAAGGCAAUAAGGAAUAAUAAAAAGAGAACUAGCUAUUACAAGAUUUUAUAAUAAGGAACAAAUGUUAAAAAAUGGAACUUUAAUACAUCAACUAACACCUAAAUUAUUAAAAAAAAAAAAAAAAAGGAAAAUUACAACUGAGCCUUUUCUCUUAUACUUUUACAAAAUGAUAAGAAUAUAAUUGAAUAAUAUUAAUUAUUAAAAAAAAAAAAAAAAAAGGAAAAUUACAACUGAGCCUUUUCUCUUAUACUUUUACAAAAUGAUAAGAAUAUAAUUGAAUAAUAUUUGAAAUAUGAAAAAGAGGCAUAUUAAUAUUCAAAGUAUUGCACAUAACGUCCUUCUUUUUUGGGGCCUUUUCUUCAUCUUAGGGGGUCGCAAUGCUACCUUAAUUGCAGUAUCAAAUACAGCUUUCACAUUCUGAAAAAAAAUAAAAUAAGAUUGUUUAUUUAGAGUGUAAUUAUUGUUCUAAGUAUUGAUUAAUCUAUAACGGAAUUGUUAAUUAAUACCUGCUGAGUCUUGGAGCUGCACUCAAUGUAGGCAACUGCUCCUAUCAUCUUUUUCAACUCCUCUCCCUAAUUAAAGAAAUAACAGAGUAAUAAGCUCUUUUUUUUGUUAAUCACUGAUUAAAAAUUUUAAAGUAUAGUUAGUAUAAGUGACUCAUUUUAUGUUGUAGAGAUUUAUGUUAUUUGUUUGAAAAGUUGACCACAAAAACUCAUACUUUUAUAUUAAAAUGAAAAACUUCUUGUAUAUAUACACAUAUGAUGAUAUACAAUGAUAUCCUUUCAAAAGCUCUUUGUAUACAUAUAUAAUAUAUAAUGAUUUCAUUUUCUGCAAUUUGUCUCCACAUAUACAAGCCAAACCACUCGAUGGCUAGUACCCGCUUUGCGUGGGAAAGUCAGACAACUCCAUUCCCAAGAUCUCUGAUUAAUGAUGGAGGAAUACUUAUCGGCUCACUACCAGGCAUCAAGAUAGAUAAUGUAUCAAUUUGUUUGGAAUUAAAUUAAGACCUUUUUGUUUUUAGAAAUUUGCUAAUGAUUGCAAGUCAAUAAUGGGACUCACCUGGGCAGUUGAUAUAGGAGUAGCCCCUGGAUGAUCACUUAAAUAUUGUUUGUCUUCCCUCAGGUCUAGCAAAAUUAAAUUUAAACAGGUAUAAAUCAUAUUGCACAUUAGGUUAUAAUAUGUGUUUUGAUAUAUAAUUAUGACAAACUUAAAGAUAAUGAAAUAUUAAGUUGAUCUUACCAAGUUUAGUUCCCACCAGAACAAUUUGUAUAGUAGGAGCAUAGUGCCUUAACUCAGGAAUCCACUGUUUGAUGAUCAACAAUUAGAACUUUUGGUAAAUGAUUAUCAAAAAAUAAAUCGCUAAUGUACAGGACUAGAAAUAGGGAAAAUUAUGUUUUAAUAUCUUUGGAUCAUCUAAUUUUACGGUGUAUAAAUAAUGUAUACUUUAUACUAAAUAUAUGUAUGGUAUACAUCCGUAUACACAAUAUAUACAGCCAAAGUGUAUAAAUGAUAUAUACUUCGACCAUGUUGAUAAACUAGAUGGCCGAGUAUAUUUACAUAAUUUCCCAAAAAUAUAAAUGCACUAACCUUUUUGUAAAUGUUCUCAUAGCUUGCCUUGCUUAUUAGAGAAAAAGCAAGCAAAAAGACAUCAGCUCCUCUGUAACUUAAUGGCCUUAGCCUGUUAUAGUCUUCCUGUCCUGCAUUUCACAAUCAACUAUUCAACAACACACAAAAUCAAAAUGAAAUGUUCUUAUAUACCUACAAACAAUAUCCAAAAAUAUUCCCUCCAAUGAUAUAAGUGAGGAAUAAAAAAGACUCAUAGUAGAAUCAAAAUUUUAUAUAUGCACCCAAAGGUGUGGUCUAGUGGUCAAUGAAAUGGGUCGAGAACCAUGAAGUUUCAGGUUCAAAUUUCAUCAUAGACAAAACAACAUUAGUUGAUUUCUUCUCAUCUGUCCUAGUCUUGGUGGACAAAGUUAACUGGUACUUGUUACUGGUGGAAACUAACAUAUAUCCAUGAAAUCAAUGGAGAUGCACGCAAACUAACCCAGACACCACGUUAUUAAAAACAAAUCAUAUGGUGGAAUAAAUUUAGUAUCUACGUAAAUCCUACCCUCCUUAGAACUCCAACUUGUGGGACGACACCUGGUAGAUUAUUGUUGUAAAAUAAAUUUACCUGCAGUAUCCCACAGGCCAAGGUUAACAGUGCUACCAUCCACCACCACAUUUGCACUGAAGUUAUCGAACACCGUUGGAACAUAAUCCUAUGGAACAACAUUAAUCUUAUGAAGUUAACAACUCGUAUACAUGAAACGAAGAGAAGAUUAAAGAAAAAAAGUGAAUAAUAUAUAUUACCGUUGGAAAAGUAUUACUAGUGUAUGAAAUUAGCAUACAAGUUUUCCCAACAGCUCCAUCACCAACAGUAACACAUUUGAUGAAUCUAGCAGUAGUCAUCUUCUUAUAAACUUACUGCUUUGUUUCUUCUCUACAAGUUUUUUUAAAGAUGAGAAACACUUUGUUUUUAUUCUUCAAUGAUACAUCUAUCUUCUUAGCUAGUAUAUAUCCUUCAAAUACUUUUUUCUUUUCUCCUAAUCAUAACACCAACUUGUUUAAGUUAAAAUAAGUGGAUUUUGAAACUUAAUGAAAAGAUAUUUGGCAAUGUGGAGAGGGUUGGCAUAUUGGAUUAUACACCUAAGCAAUCAUUGCUUACACCACCCUUUUUACUUUCCUUUAACUUCAAGGCCAGAUAGCCAAAUGAAAUAAAAAGGGGUUAAAUUUUUUCAAAAAGAAAGUUUGUAAAGUAGGUGUAGUGGUGAGUGUUGGUUGGUUUAAGUGUUGAAGAAGCAAUUUUAUAAAGGAUCAAAAGAGGGGAAAGGUUGCUUAAUUGGACUAUAUACUAUGAUGAUCAAAAUAGAAUAUUUCAACAAAUGAAAAUUAAAAGUAGAGAUAUUUUCAUAAAUACACGUCCAACACAACAAUUUUCAUCCACAUAUAUAGUGACCUAACUUUCAAAUUAUAUACCAUAUGGAUUAAUUCAGUUAAGGGUUGAAAAACAUGACUCAUUUUAGUUACAAGUUUAAGUCAGGCAACUCAUAAUUGAGAUUGAGAGUAUAAGAGUGUCUUAGUUCAACUCGUUACGAAAACAAGUUUAAAAAAUAGAUAAAGAGAAAGACACAUGAGACUAGUUCACUUUAUUGUUUCUGCUUACCUUUAAUGAAAUUCACAAUGAUUAACGAACUUCAUGUUCAUAUUAACUAAAAAGAAAAGAUAUCUGGAACUAGAACCCAAAGAAUCUUUCAUAGGCCUACUACCGUUACUGCAGUUCAGCUGGUCAGUACAACAUUUGAAAUGAGUAAUUGUUGGGUCAACUGUUGUACAACAGCUUGGCUACUGAUUCAAUCUAACAAAGAAUUCAAGCAUACCAAAGGGCAAGGAAAAAGAUUAAAUAAACUCUUUUAGCACAAAGGCUAUUAUCUUAUUCAAAGGCUCAGGAGAUGACACGACUAAUAUGGAAAGUGCAACAGAGGCAGCGGACUAUGAUUCGUACUGGAGCAUAAUAUGGGAUGAACAACCUAAGCGAGCCAGGUCAAGAAAGGAAGUUACACAGCAAUACAGAGCAGCAAUUUGGCCGUUGUGAGCAGCGCGGCAACAGAGAGGAAAAGCAUACGCAUAGCUUGAACUGGCUAUGGGAGAAGUCAGGUAAACUCCGCGGAACUUGCAUUUAAAUUCCUGCAACAAUUGGAUUUUAGGUGAUCAACUCCAGAAUAGUCAUAGGCUUUCCCUACUCUGUAGUCGCACCAAACUCACAAUUUCAUCAAAACUUUGUUCAAUUCUGAUGAUACACGUCUACUAAGCUCACCCAAGGUGUGUAUGACAUAAGUAGCCAGAAACUUGAUAGUCAAGUUUGAAAAAAGCUGGUGAAUAUCACUAUUUUAUGCCCAAGAUUAAAGAGAAAUACAAAGUAUGGAGCCAAUACACGAAGAAUCAAAUCACAUAUAUAUUGUGGGGCGCCUAGAAGUGGAAGGAAAGGAACCUCAGUAACACUGAGGUCGUGUUUUCACUCUACAGCCAAUCAAACACAGGGAAAUAAGGGAGAACCACUUAUUUUCAUACCAAACACCACAGUUACCUAAUACUGUAAAAUAGUCAUAGCUCAAUAAUUCAACCAACAAAAAAAAAGUAUACCCUUCCCAUGAUUGUUCAUGUUAAGGCCAGAACUAUUGUGUAUACAAGAUUUAGAGCUUUAAAGUAUACUUCCAUGAUUUCAUCUAUAAGAUGUCUACUUAUAAACUAGACAAUAACAUAAAUGAACGG
rnacentral:lncRNA from 1 species